rnacentral:lncRNA from 1 species
CAAAAAAAAACACGUACCUAGAUAUUAUACUAGAUCCAAAAGUUAGGGUGGGAUGAGAAUCCUUUGACUCUGCACAUAAGUUGCAUAAAGGCCCAAUUUUUCCAACACAAAUGGAAGGAAAGGUACCUAGAUCAUUCAAAAAACAAAGGAUUGAAGGGAAACUGCUUUCAAUAUCAUCAAGAAGAUUUGAAUAUCCUUUUUAUAAGAAGUUUAGUGAAACAAAAGAAAAGCAAAUAGCUCACCUUUGCAUCUUUUACAGGUGAAAGUUCUUUCCACUGGCAAACCACUAAUGGCACUUUGAAUUGUUGUUUCCAAUGAAUCCAGAGGAGCAGUCCUGCAUGCAUUCAAUACAUCAAGCAGGCUCUUCCCAUUCUCAAAACAUAUGUAUUGGGCCGCACGUCUAUAUUGUUUGAUAGCAUGAAUCUCAAAUUGGGAUGGGGGAAUAACCUACAUCAGCGACAAAAGAAAUAAUCAAAUAUAUGGAGGGAUCUAAAAUAUAUGAAACAAAUCCAGAAAUCAAUCUACAUAAGAGCAACAAGAAUACUCACUCUAUGUCCAUUGCAGAAAGCACAAGAGCACAGAAUGCCAGCAUCUUUGAUUGUACCCCGAAGACCAAACGCCUGAAACUAAAGUGCACAAAAAAAGAAAUAAAUAAUAAACCACCAUUCUGCAAGAACGAAAAAUAUGAAACACUUGAGAAUAGGAUGUCGAAAUUAUACCUUCUUGCCACCCAUGUAGACAACAGGUACCCCCUCAAGCAAACCAGUCUCAAACAGCUCUUUAACUGUCAUUGGUACAUUUUCCAACGCAAUCUUUUUAGACAUUUUCAACUCUAAAUUCUUCUUUGGAGGCGUCAAAGCACUCCCUUCAGCUAUCAUCUCCACAUCCACUCUAGAGAGAGCUUCACCUUCUAUAACUUCUGGUCCUUUAACAGUAACCUCAACUGGUUGCAACUUAAUCUUCAAUUUUGACUUCCUAACCCUCUUUGGCCUAUCAUUACUCUUAACCUCACCAUUCUCACCAAAAACAGCAAGGUUCAUCUCUUUUCCCCCUUUGACCGCCAGAGAUCCUUUACUCUCAUCUUUACAAACCCCCUUUUCUACGUUAUUGCAAUUAUUUCGCUCUCCAAUUGCAGUCUUCUUAUUAACUUCAAGACACUUAAAACCAUCAUCACUAAUCGAAGCAUUUAUUGUAUUGGCUACAUCAAUUUUAGAAUCAUCUAAGCUCUUAAUUCUCUUAAUAUGCCUCUCAUCAUCCUCGGCCGCAAUUAAUAUAUUGUUAUUUUUAGUCUUCCUCACUCGAGUAUAAACAAUGAAACCAUUUACCUUAGUAACUUUGAACCUCUUACUGCGAUCAUCGUCAGAAAGUUGGGUACAGGAGGAACUCGACUGAGUCGGCCGACCGAGUGAACUCACAAAACCUAGCUCUCUCUUCAUGCCUGCCAAUUGAGGAAAUCAAAUCGAAGAAUUGGAAGAACAAGAUAGAGCAUGAAAUCUGGAAUUGGAUUUUGUGAUUAUAGGGUUUGGGAAGGAGGGGGAGGGGGACAGAUGAAUUGGAACUGAAAAUGGGAAUUUGGAGAGACGUGAGAAAUUAAAUUGAGCGAGAAUUUGGGGUAGGUAGUGCUAGGGUUUUAUUGAGGGUUUUAUUUAUUUUGAAUUUUGUUGAUUAUCCAAAGGAGAGAGGGAGAGAAGGGAAAGCGAAAAAGAAGCCGAUUUGUUUACGAGGCGAUGAGUGACCAUCUAGAGAAAGGAGGUUAGAGGAGCGCUAACACGGGGAGGGGGCAGCCACUGGCUGCGCAGGUUUGUUUUGUACUGUAAUGUUUACUGUUUUUUAAAACAAUUGUUUAAAAGUUGAAAUGGUAUUUUUUUUUUUAGUUUUUUUAAUAUUAAUAUAUAAAAAAUAUUAAAAAUAUAUUAAUUAUUUUUUUUCCAAAUAAAACAUAUUUUAAUAAUAAAAAUUAACGCCUUCUCAAACAUUAUAAUAAAAUAUAACUACAAUUAUGUUUUAUUGUUUUUGCCAGAGUUUUCGCACCCAGCCUCGUUUAAAAUUCGGGUUUCCAGUUUUGAUUAGUUUACUGGGUUAUUUGGGUCAAGUUUAAAAAAAAAUUAAAAUAAUAUUAUUUAAUUAAAAAAAAUAAAAAUCAAUGGGUUGCAACUAAAUUUUUGAUUGGAUCUUACCAGGUCGCACCAAAUUUUUUCUUAUCUUAUUUUUUUUUCAAUAUGUUUUAAUUUCAGCCCUGAAUCGACCCUCAAGGCCGAACUUUAAAAUUAUGGUUUUUGCAUUCUUACUUGGUUUUUAUACUUCCCUGUCUACUCUCUCUAUCCUUUUCGUUUAUUUUUAUCCGCAAAUUUGAUCCUUGUAUUCUUUAUUAUUUUUUAAUAUAGCUCCUUUGCUCUAAAUAAUUUCUUAAUGUCGUCCUUUUAUCUAAUUUACUAUUAGUUAUUAACAUGUGGCCACAAAUGCUAGAAACCUAUCCACGUUUUCUAACACGUCAAGAAUUAAUAUAAAUUGAAAGGAAAGUAAAUGGACUGAUGAGUGAUGAGGACCGUAUUAAAAAAAUGUAUUGACUGAAUGGACCAACUAAAUAAAUAAAUAAAAAGUUAAGGAGUCAUAUACAAAAUACCAAUUAUAUAAUUAAUCCCUUAGCUCUUUUUAUUACUCUGUUGUUAUUAUUAUUAUUAUUAUUAUUUUUAUUUGGUUCAUAAGAUGCAAAGUUAAGUAUGCUAUGUCGAGACUUUAAAUUUCACAUAUUAAAAGUGAUAUAUUUAUUUACCGUUCGGAAUUGUGUUUGUAACUGCGUUUCAUCAAAUUUUAAAUUUUUUUUUUUUUUGCUAAAAUUGAGUGCGGUUUGUAUUUUUUGGAUCGUUUUGAUGUGCUGAUGUCAAAAAUAAUUUUUAAAAAAUAAAAAAAAUCAUUGGCAUGUAUUUCGGCACGAAAAACUAUUUGAAAAGCACUCACAACCACAUUGUCAAACACGCUCUUACAUGCAUAAUCUUAGUUAUCCUAGAAAAGAAGCUUCGGUUCUGUCACACACGGCACAUUGUUGGGACAUUCUGAAUAAAAAAAAAUAGAAAAAUAGAUUUGUCAUCCAAACUAGAAAUCUUAAAAAUAAAUACAGCUUCCAGAAAUUCAUAGAAAAAAUUAAUUAUACUUGAAAAAAUAUUAAUAUCACUCUUGCAUAUCUUUUCAUAAAAAAUAUGUAUUUAAAUAUGCAUUUUUAAUUUUCUAAAUUUAUUAGCUAUUAAUUAUUUAAAUUUAUUUAUAAUUUAUUUUUUAUUAUUUGUAAAAUAUUUAAUUUUAAUUCUUGAAAAUAAAAGACUAGCUGGUAUGAGAUUUUUAUUGUGUAAAUGAUAGAGAAAAACUAGUGUUUGUGGGUUUUGGGAGCGUUUGGAAACGCAAGUUAAAUCGUGUUUUUAAAAAAAUUAAUUUUUUUUGUUAAAUUUUUUUUUUAGUUUUUGGAUCGUUUUGAUACACUGAUCUCAAAAAUAAUUUUUAAAAAAUAAAAAAAAUAUUAUUUUGAUGCAUUUCAGCAUGAAAAAUACUUUGAAAAUUAACCAUAACCACACUUCCAAACAUACCUACAAAUAAAAAAAAAUCUCACACAUGAUCCAAUUAUGUCCCUCUCAACCAACAAAAUCAUGAUUAAAAUGCACAACUAAUAAACCCUCUUAAAAAGAAAACCUUGUAUUUUUAUUUAUGCAUCAUCUUUUAAGAAAAGAAAAACACAUGUUUAGCUCAUUUAUUCCUCAUGUUUGCAAACAAAAGCAUACAACAGUUGAAAAAGAGAUGAGUAAAAAUCAUUUAACUGAAAAGAAGGAAAGAAAGAAAGAAAGAAAGAAAAAACUCGCCUGAACCAAAGGCUAUUACUGCUAUAAAUUGUCAUUGUCCUCACAAAUCUAGCUAAGCUCAUGCAGCUGCUUAGAAAAGUUGCUAACACUUCGAUCUUAUGGCCUCAUGCAGCUGCUUAGAAAAGUUGCUAACACUUCUUAUGGCUCCUAUUCCUCCCUGAAGAUAUUGCUGCUAUACUAGAGCUUCCUCACUUCACCAGCAAAACUGAGAGGUGGUUGGGCGAAGGUGGUUGUUGUCGCUGAACCAUUGUUUUUGUCUUCUAUUAACCAAUAUUGUUGUUAUAACUUGGAGUUGUAGCUGGCACUGUGAACUACGUACUGCUACUUGGGAGUGUUGCUGCUGCUCUUGUAUACCUCAAACCCGAGAAACAAACAGGAAGAAACGCUGUUACUAGAAGAGACCACCGUUGCCAUUGUUAUCGAGAACAAAGCUCACCGUUGCUAUUUUCCCCACUUUCUCUUCAAUCUAUCCUUUAUCCCUUUUGGCUCUCUCGGUUUUGAAUAUGUCUCUUGUGUUUCAACUUUCCUUUUCUUUUCUUUUCUUUUUGUCUUCCUUCCUCUCCAUUCUCUCUUUUUCUUUCUUUUUCUCACAUUGCUUUUUUUUUUUUGCUGCCUUUUUCUUUUCGGGGCUACGGGUUUGGAGGUAUUUAUAGAGGUGUGAGAACUUUCUAGGGUUCCCAUGAUCAGGCAAGAUCAGGAUCCUUGAACAUGAAGAAGAGAUCCCUCACCUUUGGCUUACCCUUAACUGUCUUCUAUACUAGGAUAAUGGACGAUAAAGUGGUUGGCUUGACUUGCUCGUCGUGCUCUGCAGGGCUUGUUUUGGCAGCGGUUUUCGUGGUUUAAGUAACUUUUUGGUUUUGCGUUUUAAAACUUUUUUAAAAAAAUUUUAAAACAAAAUUUUUUUUUUUUCAAAUUAAUAUAUUUUUUUAGUAUUUUUAAAUUAUUUUAAUAUGCUAAUAUCAAAAAUAAUUUUUAAAAAAUAAAAAUAUAUAUUUUAAUACAUUUCUGAAUAAAAAAUAUUUUAAAAAGCAAUUAUAACUACACUCGCAAGCAAACAAAACAGGUUGGGAUUAUAGGUACUAUGUUAGGGGAUAAUUAAUGUAAUGCAUGAAUAAAUUAAAUAAUUAAUGAAAAAUUAUAUAAAGUAAGAUAUUAAAAUAAACUAGUAUGAAAUUAAAACUAACAAUAUAUAAAAAUUAUAUAAAAAUCAAGCACAUUGAUAUAAAAUAUCAAUUGAAUUACUUUGAAUUUGAUGUUUGACAGCACUUUAAAUUGUAGAGUAUGUCAACUAUUUUAGAAUUCUAAAUUAAUUUCUUACACAAGAAAAAAAAAUGUCAAUAUUAUAAAUGUGUUUCUCACUAUCAUGUAUAAAGUACAAAAUCACAUUCAUUGAACCAUCUCUAAAACGAAUUUAUUGACAAUAUGUUCAACCUUUUUGUAAUAGAAAAGUAGUCAACUAAACACUUUGUAUUUCGUCUCUUUGUUUUAGCAAACUUCUCUCUCCUCCCUCAACAUUCAAUACUAAAAUAUAAAAAAAAUAAAAUUUGGACUUAAACAUAAAAACAUUAAAUAAAAGGGGCCAAAUAUGUAUAAUUUGAAACUUGAGGAACUAAAUUGAAGUUUUUUGUUUCUUUUUAAAAAACUCUAUUUUUUUUUAUUUUGCCAUUAUUUAACAAAUAACCUAAAAUCUUAUAUAAAUGAAUCAAACUUUAAUUUAACGUUAAAAUAUUCUAUAACACAUCAAAUAUGCAAGAACAUGCAAAUAGAAAUAAAUCUCAACACAUAAAACUAUGUCAACAUAGAUUAAAACGAUAAAAUUUUAAAAAAUUCAAUAAGUGGAAUGCAAAAAAAUAAUAAUUUAGAAAGCUAGAAGUAAAAAAAUAUCUAUGAAUAUUGUUGUGAUUAGAAAAAUGUGAAGCGAUGAACAUGGGUGGGUGUACAGUAAAACAACCAUCUCUUCUAGUUUAAUAACUAGCUAUUUAACUUGCGUGCUACCACGGGUUGUAAUGUUUUUUUUUAAACCCUGGUUAUGCAAAUUAUUUUCUAAAAAAAUCAAAGCAUAAAUCAAAAAACUCAUACAAGCUUCUAAUUAAAUAAACCGAUAGUUAUUUAUGUAAAUAAAUAAAAAAAAUCAUUAACAAUAAUCAAAAGAGAAAUUGAAAAAGUUGAGAAAUAGAUAUAGAUCAAGAUACUUGAUCUUGCAAAAUAAGAUAUUUACCCGUUUUGUGUCUACUGAAUUUACUUAUUAAAAACAAUAAAAAAUAAUACAAACAAAAACAAAUACGAAAGUGAAAAUAUUAUGUAAGGCCAAACAUAUAAGAAAUAUUAUUUAAGAAUAAAUAUUUUUUAUAUAAAAUAAAGCUCACUUGUAUAAAAUAAAAGGAAUUAUUCAAAAAUUAAAUAAAAAAAUUAUUUUAAAAAAAAAAUUAAUUCAAAAAAAUUCUUUAAAACCCACGGCCUAAGCCAUGAGACUAGGAUAAAUCGAUAGAGAAGAAAUUGAAGAUAACCACAAAACUAUUUUUUUUCAAAAAGAAGUAAUGUUGAAUGUUAAAAUCGUAAAAGAAAUUGAGAAAAUGGAUCCCGAAUUGCAUGAACUUGUCAAACUCGUUACUCAUGUCAAUAGAUCAGAAGCAUUACAAAUGAAAAAGCUCUGAAGCCCUUUCCCCUUCAAAUCAAAGGCUAAAGGACGAAACAAGGGAAAAAAAACACACAUAAAAAUUGUGAUUAAAAGAAUGAGGUAGAAAAUUGAAAUAAAAAAUAAAUUAGAGGGUAUGAAAAAAAAUUUAAGUUAGAGAGGGUUAAUUUAAAAACAAUUAAACUCUAAUAAAAUGAAAAAUAAAUCAAAAGAAUGAGGGUUAAAUUGAAAACAAUAAAAAACAUAAACUUUGAUUGAAGGAAGAGAUUGUAAACCAACAAAACUUUAACAAAAGAGCUAGGAGAAAAAAAAUCAAGAAAUCAAAAGAAUAAAGACUAAAUUGAAAAAAAAAAAUAUGAUAAAUUAUAGUUCAAGAACUAAAUUGAAAAAAACUAAAAUUUUUAUAAUAUGACCAAGGACGACAAAACAAUAACAAACAAAGGGACUAAAAUUGACAAAUCUAAAGAAAAAAGGACAAAAGUGCACUUUCUCUAGAAGAGGGGGAAAAGAAGAAAGAAAAAAAAGAUCAUCAGCAAGAAACCGACCAUAAUGCGUCGACACGCGCCACCUCAUAAGAAAAAGGACACAAUGGUGCAUCAAAUGACACGGCAGAAGGGUAGUUUAGCCACCGGAUGUGUUUGCACACACCACCUAAACACUGUGAACAAUACAUACUCGUUGGCGUGGGAACGUGAUACACCAACACCUUUUUCGAAUAAAAUAAUAGUUUUCCAACAUAAAAGUACCAUAAUGCCUUUCAUAAACCUGUGAAUCACAACACAGAAAAACAUGUGUGAAGGUGCACAAAUGCCCCUUGAUGCAUGCCUUGAUUUUUGUCUUUUUUAAAGGUAAAAUAAUAUUUUUAUUAUAUUUCAAAGUGCAAAAAAAAAAAAAAAAACCUUGUUCAACAACUCAUGUUUUUUCACUUUAGUGGUAAAUAAGUAUUUUGACUAUUUCAAUGUUUUUGAAAAGAUUAAAAUUCCCUUGAGCAAUAACUCAAGAAAUUGUUAAAUCUAGAGAUAAAAAUGCAUUUGUAUUGUGCAAAAAAAAUAGAAAAUUCUAACAUACCCUAAACAAUAUUUUAAUGACUAAUGAACAAAUUGUAAAGAUAGAAACACUCUAAACACCAUUAUACUUUUUUUUUCUUCAAUUCAGGAACAAAAAAAUAAUUUUAUUAUAGCAAUUCAUAGUAAACUGUGUCUACUACUAUAGUAAAAAACCUACACGGUUUAGAGUUUUUGUUAAUAAUAAUAAUAAGAAGAUGGAUAGUAUAACAUACAAAAUGAACUUAUUAAUAAUCUAGUUGAAAAAUGAUCAUUGCAAUAUUAAUUUCAUAAUUCACGAGUUUCGUAUAAUUAAAAAAUGUCAAGCAUAAUUGAAUAUGACAAGAUGCACAAGGUCACACACAAUAUGACUUACCCAAGGGUUCCCAUGCUUUGAUUUUUAGUACUUGUCAUUGUAACUUUUAUGGUAGUUUGGCUUCCGGAAGACAUUCUCCUAUCUUUGUAUAUAAUGGAUUUUUUCUCAUUAGUUUUUUACAAAUAAAAAUUUAUCAUAUCUUUAUAUAAUGUAUUUUUUCAUUAAGAAAAUAUUAAUUAUGCACAAAUGAUUUUAUUUAUUUAAGAAUUGUAUUACUCUAAAUAUAUACUAAAUUAUACGACAAUAUAUAUAUAUAUAUAUAUAUAUAUAUAUAUAUAUAUAUGAUGUGUAUAUGUAUGUAUAUGUGUACACACACACAUAUAUAUUUAAAAUUUUAAAAAAUAUAAUUUUGAUUGGCCUAAAAUUGUUUUUAAAAUAUCUCUUAUCGUUUAAUAUAAAAAAUUCAUAUUGAUGUAUGGACAAUUUUUUAACCGUUGAUUGUAGAGAAAGAUUGAAUCAACUAAAUGACCUGAUUUGUGUAUUUAGACCCUCUAUUUGUGGAUUUAGUGUCACCUUUUUUAAAAUUAAAAAAAAAAACUAUACCAAAUAAUUUGGAUUUUAAAAAAGAUGAAAAAAAUAUAUAAAAAAACGUAAAUGGGGUUUAAACUGGGCCAGGUUAGCAUGCACUGUCUGUGUGAUAUGUAUCCAAGCUGAAGCCCAUAAUCUAAACACUUCCCUCUUAGAUCGAAGGUUGAAAAUUAAACUUGAUUGCCAAGUUGUUCAAGACCGAAAAUGCAAUUAAUGAAUUAAACCCAGAUAUCUCUGUAAAAAAAAAAUCUCUUCUUCUUCUCACUAUUUUUUUUUUAAAAAGAAGUUAUGUAUGCUUGCCUCCAUGGCAGAGACAAGCUUCUGGGGUCACCUAAGUUUAACAAUCCAGAAAAAAGAAAAGAAAGAAGUAUAAGAUCGAUUAAGCUGAGAUAGUUAUCGUAUCAAACCCUAAUGGCAGGCAUCUCAACACAUUAAUUCCGACAGGAAUUAGCUUAGAUCCCCAUGAUUGUUAGAGAAGCAUUACAGUAAAAGCUCAUGAAAAAAAAUCAAAUAACACGAUCAAAGAUGACAUAAACAACAAGCAUUAAGUGGCCACAGGCCUACACACAUACAUAUGAUUAGUUCUAAUCAGAAAACACUUAUCGUAGUAAGGUUUUACAGCGAACAGAACAUGAAGUAAAUGAAAACACAGCAUUAAGCGCUGAUUCGCCCUUGCGAAAAUUAAGCUCCCUUCCAGCCCAAAUCGCAUGAACAGAGAGAGAGACUCCCAGGGGAACGAAAAUGCCAAAGGAUCGAAGUUGCCCUAUAAGAGAAACCGCCCUCAAGAAGGCGAUUCAGUUUCAACAGCCAGCAAUAUCAGCCCCACAAUCCUGAACGAAGGAUCGCAAGGAAAGGAUAUUUUAGAAGCAAAACAAGAAAAACUGCACCAGGGAAACAAUAUGUGACCACCCCGCAACUUCAUUUUUAGAGCAAUAAAGAACAUCGGUAGGGGUGGCCAGGGAGGAGCAAAAGGAUCACAUGACGAUGAGAUGGUGCAGUACUAAGAGGGUUUGCAUAUUAAGCUUGUGCUGGUUGUUAUAGGGUUUAUUUUUCUUGGUCACGAGGGCAAUAAAAGGCUGAGAUGACUAAGUAGUAGGGUCUAGUCACUUUUAGUUAAAGGAAACGUAAAAAAAGUGAAGUGAGAUAGUGAGUUGGAGGGUUGCACGUUUUAGCAUCUUCCAUGGGAUAUGCCAUUGUCGCCACCUCGCUCCUUAAUUUCCUCCGCAUCUGAUGACAGCCCUCAUUCCAUUUCUUUCAUGUUGCUAAUUCCAAGUACAUCAUUUUUAUAUUGUCACAAUUAAUUAACUUUCUUGUUUUAAUCUUAUGAGAAGAGAUUUUCGAGAGUCAUGUUAGCUUUUGGGCUGGUAGAUUUAAACAAGCUUCCAAGAUGCAGAAACUACAGAUAAUAUAGUUGUUGGGUUUUUUGAAAAAUAAAUACGCGGUGAAAAUGGUAAAUUUAAUUUUUUUAGGAGUCUUAAAAUCCUGUUAGAUAUAUAUAAAGUUAUUUAAAGUUUAUACAAAUAUUACUUGAAAAUCAGAUGUUUUUUUUUUUUGCUUUGAAUAAUUGCUUGAAGGCUUGGUUGUCGCAAACCACAAGUUGUCCAAGUAUCCAACCUUUAACAGUAAUCUACAUGAACCACUAGUGAGAAAUCUUCUAAACCCUUUUAGGAGAGAGAGAUUGUUAUACUUUAAAGUGCUAACUCUUUUUUUUUUUUCAGAUGUUCUGUAACUUACAUGAUUUCUGUUUCUUUACCACAUAGAAAAUAAAAGGCACAACAAUCUAUUUAUAAAAAAUACCUAAAAACCUUAUAAAUGAAAAAAAUAUAAUUUGCCCCUGAAUAAUACCACAUAUAUUAUUUUAGAAUAAUUUUAAAAAUUUAUUCAAUUCACUCCCUACUUGAUAUUUCUAGUUCUAGAAUUGUAAUUCCCUAUAUAAAUUACACCCUAGUCCUCAAUUUUUAAAAUUUAUUUACAGUCAAAGUCACACUUGAUUAAUCAUCUCAUUUUAAUUUAUGAUAAAUAGUUCUUAUGUGUGCCUCUCAUUAGGUUUCAUAAUAAGUUGGUCCAAAUAUAAACCAUAAUCCUAAAUAAAAUAAGAUUAAAUAAAUUAACUUAUUAUCAAUUCAACAAUUGAUUGAUUUAUAUUUGAAGAUCAAGUAUAAUGUCUAAUAACUUGUCAUUGAUUCUUUGAAAAUAUUAUGAAAAUCAUUACUGAUUUGACUUAACAUUUCAACUACUAGUUUCUAAAUAUAAUUAUUAUCCUUUAAUCAACAAUGUUUUAAUUUAGUUAUUAUUGCAUUGAGUGUGUUUAUCAUGUAAAAUCAUAUUUGUUUUUAAUACCAUAGUCAUUGAUUAUUUGAAUAAGAUUUCAAACUCUUUAUAAAUCUCACUCCACUUUACACAAGGAUUUAUAAUCAAUACUAUUUAAGAACAGAUGAAAUAUUUUCUCUAAUUCACCUGAGGUGAUGAAUCUUCUCUUGAUUAUUUGAAUACCUUUAUAUAGUUCUUGUUAUACCCAAUAUCUGCUCAUUUGUUACCCUUAAUUAGGAUAACGUGUAACAGGAUCAAAACAUAACAUUCCCUAUAUAUGAUAAUUUAGUGAUCUCAAGUCUAAAAAUCACUUACACAACCAUCAUGCAAGCCUUUCCAUAUACACAAGUAAUCUCUCCAUAUAAAAUUCUCAUGUAGACCAGUUUAGUGUACAUUUAAUCUAAUAAACACAUACAUAUUAGUUCUAGGUAUUCCUCAUACCUUGACUUGUGAGAACAACUGCUUUCUUUGACCAAGGAAAGAACAUAAUACGUAUUAGUCCAAAAAAUUCUAAUAUUUAAUAUCUAGUCUUAAUAAAGCAUUGAUCAGGAACAUUUAGAAACAAUGCUUUGAUGUAAUAAGAAUUUCAAAAUUAUAACAGCUUUAUAAUUUUCUUUGCAAAUCAUUUUUGUUCCAAGGACUUUAUCUUUACUUAAGAUUCAUUAAUAAAUUAUUAGAUUCAUUAAUUAAAUAUUUGAUAAAUGUUAAAAAUAAAUAAAACCUUUAUUAAAAUUAAAUAUGUUUACAUGAAUAAAGUCAAUGUUACGUAUAACCAACUGAUUGACUACAAAGCAUAUAUAAUAACAAUCUUCAACUUACACUAAAGUUAAUUACUCAUGUAUCAAAUAUCUUAUCGCUCUACUUGAUGAUAAUGUUUUUACUGGGACAAUGACAUAGUAAGAAGAUUUACAAAAUUCUCUUCAAUAGGUACCCACUCUAUCUUUAUAUAUUUUCUAUAUUUUUCUAAUAAAAUAGAAUUAUCUAAGUAUAUAUAUAUAUAUUUUUUUUUUAUCAUUGAUGAGAUCUUGGUUCCUUUGCUUAUGCAAUGACUCCAUUAUUUUCACCGUAUAGGGCUACUAGAUUAACAAUAUUAGGAACCACAACUAGUUCAAUGAUGAACUUCUUGACUCAAACAACCUCUUUUUUCUCCUCAAAUGCAGAUGUAUACUCUAUUUUAGUUGUAAAAUCUAUUUUGAUUUUUUAUUUGGAACUCUUUUAACUUAGAACACCAUUAUUUAGAGUUCUUCCUAAAUACUUAAGAAUGUUUUUUUAAUUAUCUUUUAGUGACCUUCACCUAAAUUAAAUUGGUAUUCAUCAUACCUUAACUUACGAGAAUAACUGUUUCAUUUCACAAAUAAAAAAAUAUAAUAUGUAUCAGUCUCAAACACUCUAAUUAAUGUUCAAUUUUAAUAGACUAUUGACCAGAAUAUUUAGAAACAAUGUUUUAAUGUAAUAGAAAUCCUACAAUUAUAAUAAUUUUAUAAUUUUUUUUUGCAAAUCAUUUUUAUUUUGAAGACUUUAUAUUUACUUUAGAUAAUCAAAUAUUAGAUUUAUUAAUUAAAUAAUGGAUGAAAAUUAAAAAUUAAUAAAGCCUUUAUUAAAAUUAAAUAUGUUUAUAUAAAUUAAAUAAAUUUUAUAUAUAACCAACUGAUUAACGUAUGCUAUUGUAAUAUAGGUUGGCUUAGUGGCAGGUGAAUUCUUGUUAAAUGACCAGUCUAAUGGAUCGAAAUUGAUCUCUUCCACUGGUUCAAGUCUUGAUCAACAAAUGUAUCCCCGAAAACUAUAUCUUCAUGAAUAUGCCCUGAUUGUAAGUUUUUGUUGCGGGAUUUCAUGCUCUCUUAUGAGUGGACCGUUCUAGCCAGGAAGUCCAGAUUGCCACCUGGCAUCAGAAAGUGUUAUGUUCAAGAAAAAUAUUCUCGGUAUCAUCCCCAUAAAAGCACACCCUCAGAAAAGGUCACCUCUCUUGUUUAAUGGAAGGUAGGCCCCUUCGUUUAAUUUUAAUGUUCUUUAGCUUUUUUUUUAAAUUUAUUUUCCAGUCUGAGUGAGAUUUCAUGUUCUUGGGUGACACCAGCAGAAUCAUUCUUUUGUUCUUUCAAUAUAUUGAAGAGUUUGAUACUGUGCUGAUUGCGUAAUGUCCGUACAGGGAGCUUUUCUCCUGGACAGGUCAUCUGACGGCAAUCUUAUAGUUAUAAUUAGCAGUAAUUUAUGGAUCGAACCAAGAUUCAUGAAAUAAACUCCUCAUUUUGCUGUAGAUAGGCUAGUAAAUUUAAUUAAGCUUGUGAUGAAACUUCAAGCCGAAUAAAGCACAGAAAAAACAGACAAGCGGCAGGAUUUCAAUAGCUCCAUGAUAGUCAAUCAGAUCAAGGAGUGGAUAUGAAAAGGAAAUGUGGGAGUUGGUGAUUUAAAUGGGCAUCUUGUGAAGUGCAGGGGAAUAUGCGAUGCCAGGUGCUUCAAUAUGCUGAAGACAAGUGCUUCAUUGCGAACUGUUGGUAAUAAUUUAUCCAGUCCAAUUCCAUCAGCAGUAGCAGCUACAAUGCAGACCACUACAUGAGGUUCACAUCUGCAUUAAGAACAAUUUUCCUGGAUGCGCAGGCCCUUGUUUUGGAUUGUGGCUGCUCAGCUGUUGGGGUACUUAUUUGGAUAAUGCAUAAUGAAGAACAACAAUUUUCAUCUGAUCUUGGAUAGUCUGAGUUUAUUUUCUGACAAAUAUUUUUAGGUGGAUGGUCUCUAUGUAUGCAACUACCAGAGCAAGCAAAUUUUCUCUUAUUGAUUGGAUUUCAAAUACGCUGCUGCAUACCAGUAGUGGUUCGUAAAAACCUUCAACCAAAACUCGACUGUUUCAUAUGCACAACAUCUGGGAACUAUGACCUCUUUGUUCUUUUCCCAAUUUAUUUUAUUCACUCUAUAUAACAUGGAUGCUGCUUGAGAAAAAAUACCAAAAAUCAUGAGUUAAAAAUCUACUUGAAACUCCCAAAACAAAGUGAGUUCAUUAGAGCCACCUCUUUCCACUAUUGGAUGCCUUGAGCUUCAUCACAAGUUCUUCACGGUUAGCUUCGACCUCUGCAUAUUUCAGGCUCAUGUGGAAGUAUCGCUCUCGAAUGUCUCUUAACUCUGCCUCCAGUGAUGAUUUUGUGCGUUCAAAUUUCUCUUUUGGUACAACUUCACCUUCAGCUGUUGAUUUUCUAGAUCUUGGGACGCUUUUACGACCCUCAGACUUCAACCUGCAUCCAGUCCAAUCGCAGUUAAAACUGGUGACGAAAAUAUCAAAACGAGUGAAUGAGUUAUACGCUGCCUAUACCAAAACUAGUUCAGACCUCAUUCUUUCAAAAUCUCAACUGAAUAUGGCUUCGCUCUUUAAAGUUGAAAAAGAAUUUGAUAGCUGUAUUUAUAUACUCACCUUUUAAGCUGGAUUUUAUACGAAUUAUUUUCUUCCAACGCCUUGGCCAGAUUUUCCUCAAGUGACUGACUUUUCGACGCAGGAACAACUCCAUCAGGAAUUUUGUAGCCAUAAUCACCCUGUUCUUUAAAGAGUUAGAUAAUGUCACUGGUAAUGUUCUUUUCGUAACCAGCAUCCUUCAGAAAUUGAGAAAGUUGAACAUCGAAACAAUAUAUAUAUAUAUAUAGAGCUUAAAACAGAAGUGAACCCCAUACUUCUUGCAGUUGGUUGCUGUAAGAAUUCUUCCUCUCAGAGUCCCUCUGGUUCUGCUGUUGUUCCUUCAAGAACAUCACCUCUCCUUCAAGAGAUUGAGUUCUUGUUAAGCAUGCAAGUUUAUCCUCCUCAACUUGUCGCAUCUGCUGCUGAAGUUGCUUGUUUGCUCUCUUGAUCCGGGUGAGUUCACUGUUAAUCUCUGCAUACUGUUCACAAAAUGCCUCCUUUGCCAUUAGGUCACCUUCCAUCCGCAAAAGCUUUUCUUCUAAGGAAAUUAUUUUCUGUUUGCUGUCCUCUAAUUCAGAUACGGCCUUCUGCAAAAUAGUGAUCUUCUCAAUAAAUGAACUCUUCUCUAUCUUCAACUCUUUGCACUCUCCAGAUACUAGGCGGAAUGAAGUUUCCAGUUUCUCUUUCUCAUACUUGAUUGCAUUGAGUUCAUUCUUCAAAACCACAACUUCAUCCUGAAGAGAUCCUAUCUCAAGAAGCUGAACCUUCAAUUUGGUAGAUUCUUCCAUGACUUGUUGCCGUUCAUACUCAGAAACUGUCAGCUUUAAUUCAAGAUCGCUAAGAGUGGUUUUAAAAUUUUCUUCGCAAGAUAUGUAAUUAGUCAACAGCUUUGACAUUCUUCCAUUGUCAACCUUCAACAUUUCUUGGUUCUGUUUGGAUGCAGCAAGUUCACCCAUCAAGCCUUGAACCUUCGUGUUGGAUUCAAUCUGAGAACUAUUGAGUUCCGAUUCUAGCUUGGCUAUGACUGCACAUAAACCAGACACUUCAUCCACAGCUUCAGAAGCUAUUCUCUCUCUAUCCGCUUGAGUUGCAGAAAGUUGCUUGGUAAGGUCUCCCACCUCUCUUUGAAGACUCUCAACUUCAACCAUCAUCUCCAAAUACAUCUGGUUUAGCAAACUAAAUCUCUUAUUCUGUUUUUCAUUUUCCUCAAGAAGUGUCUCCAACUCCGUAAUUAGUUUUUUCUCUUUCGAGGCACUAUCUUCUAGAACUGAAGAUAUAUUUUCUUCUAAAACCGUCACUCUUCUGGAACAAUCAGCAAAUCUUCUGUGCGACUCUCUCAAUUUUGCCUCCAAAUGGGUGCAGUGCCCUUGCAACUCUAAUAUCUGCCUUUCCAACACUCCAUUUGAUUUCUGAAGUGAACUGCAUUCUUGCAUAAUACUUUCAGCAGUAGCUUGCAAAUUAAGAUUCUCUCUUUUCAGAUAAUCACAUUCUUCUUGAGCUUCUGACCAUUGAUCAUGCAGUUGUUGUAGAUUUUGUUUCAGAUCAGUCGUUUGAGUCUCCACGUCAUUUUUCAAUCUUGAAACCUGAUCUUGAAGAAUCUGAACCUGAGUUUUGGAAUUCUCUAAUUCCAAUUUAGUUGACUUCCUCUCAUCUGUCAAUUGCGUUAUUUGACCUUCCAAGACAGUUAUGUGUGAUGACAACUCUUCAUUUUCUUGCUUUAGCUCUGAUAAUCGGAUCUCCAAUUCCUGUUUAGCACUAGCUAGCUCUGAAGAUCUCCUUUCAAGAAUUUUAUUGGCAGAAACAUGCGAAUCCACACUGCUGCUAAGUACCAUUAAAUCCUUUCUCAAGUCAUUCAGGCACUUCGUAGCAAUGUCACCUUCCCUUCUCACAAUCUCCAUUCUUUCUUCCAUCUGGCCUUUUUCAUUUUGAAGAACUGAAAGCUUGGCUUCUAAUUCUCUCUGAUACCUUUGAAGAUGCCCAUUCUCAUCUUCUUUUGACAGUAAACUAGCCUUGAGUCUUUCUAUCUCAGCCAAUUUUUCACCGAGUUCCAUAUUCAGUUCUGUAACUUCAACUUCCAGUUGCGAUUUCAGGCUUUCAAUCUGUUGAAUUGAAAGAUUGUGAUCAUUUUCAAUCUCCCGAAGCAAUUUCUUCUUCAUCUUCUCUUCAAGUUUAUCCAUUUGUGAUUCUUGGCCAUUCCCUUCGGACAUGUAACUGGUCGAAGAUAAAACUCCAUCCGUGGAACUCUCUUUUUUUUCCUUAAGUUUGAUCAACAACUCAAGGUUUUCAUCUGUUAACUCCUGGCAGUCGCUUUCCAGCUCCUGCAGCUUAACUUUUAAUGCUUCAAUUUCUCUGAUCAAAUUUUCAUCACCUCCAGUUAUGGACUCCAUUUUUGUGGAAUAAUGCCUUUCAUUCAGCGACUCUGAUAGCUUUGCUUUCAAACUGACUAUUUCUUUUUCUUUAACAGUUAGCUUGCAUUUGUAUUCAGUCUCCAUAUCCAAAAAAUUUCGGUUGUUCAUACUCUCAUUUUCUAUGCUUCGGUUUUUGUCCUCCAGAUCCUGUUCCAGUGCUUGUACUUUAGCCUGCAAAAUUUUCUCCGAUUCUUGCAGUUGUUGAGUGUGGAGAAUUAAGUUCCUGUUCUUCUCUACGUUCAUCUGGAUAGAGUUUUCCAUAUCGCUGAAUUUUGACUGGAGAGCAGAGAGAUUAUCUAUCUCAUCUUUCUGCUUUUCGAUAGUUUCUUCCAGCUCCUGAAGCACAGAUACAAGCUCAGCAUUAGACUCUUGACUCCUUUUCAGCUGGAGAUUGAGAUUAGCAUUGGAUUCCCUCUGAAACAUAACAUCAUUUUCUAAUUCCUUAACUGCACCUUCAUCUUGGAACGUGUAAUCCUCCAAUGCUGCUGGUUUCGCAGUAGAUUUCUCUAACAACAGUUUCAAUUGUUCAACUUCUUUUUGCAGCCCAUCACGUUCUGCGCAUGCUGCUGACAGCUCCAUGUACAUAUUUGCCUGGUUUUUAGACUGUUCAGAGUAUUCCUUCCUCAAUAUUUCCAUAUCAAGCAUCAGCUUCCUGGCAUUCCUCUCCCACAUCUUAGCCUCAUUACGAAGGUCUUCGAUUGUAUCUUCUGCCGUUUCCAACAAGCUCUUAGAAGAACCUGAAAUUCUCAAAGAUGAUGUAGCAAACUCUUGUGUGUCUUCUUGAGAAAGGUUUUCUGGAAGCGUUAUCCGUGAUUUAAAUGAUGAAUGAUUUGAUUCAGAUGGAUUGCCCAUAGGAUAACUCUUUUGGGAGCUUGCCGAAUUUGGUUUUCCUGAAAUCAGGGGGGGUUCAUCACCACUUAAGUUGUUUGAUGGCGAGAAACUUUCCCUUCUUGUGAAAUCCUCUGCUGAGUCAUAGCUGUGAUGUGAAUCCGAGUUAGAGAAACUGGCUUCCUACAGUGAAGGAUGAGGUUAUGCUAGUUUAAUACGAGGAAAAAAGGGAAAGAAGAGCUGCCGGUGACAUACAAAAAUUGCAACCAUACUUACCGGCCUCUUCUCAUGUUCUUGCGGAAGUGAGGUAGAGCUGGAAUCUCUACCUGAGUAUGAUUCUUCACUCUUUGCAAUUGUACCAUUAGACUCCUCUGACUUGAUCUCCACUUCACGAGACUGAGAGUCUGCAUUUAUAUCUUCCUUGUGGGAAUCUGUCUCCUUCGAUUUGUCAUCCCUGGAAAUUGUGCAUUUUGAAAGAUAUUUCAUGAACAAAUUAAUUAAAAGAGAAAUCAAAACACUGAAAAAGAAAAGGAGGGAAAAGUGAACAAGUUGCACCACACAAACCUGAUUAGUUUUGUUCUCGGUGUCAGGCAUUGAAUCUUGACCUGAAAAAUAAUAUAUAUCAGAUAAACGGCUCAGAUUACUACUAUCAAUGAUAACAUAUUCAACUGCUACAACCGAAAUGUGUUUCGUGUGGAGACAAAUUAGCCACACAACCACUGCAAAUCAAGUUGGAAAGGAAUGGAAGUUUUUCAGGGAAGAGAUUUGGGGGGUUUGUUUACCAUAAAUCAGGAUGGGUGUUCCCAUUUCAACUAUAAAUAUAGGGCUCGUAGGAAAAUAAUAUUCAAAGCAAAAAUAUAUUGAGCUAUAGAGAAAAGUGAUAUAAGAUUACAUAGAGUUAACAAGUCAAGUUGAGUUGAGAGAGUUUUCUUCUUUUCUUUGGUGUAGUUUUUAAUCUUCUUUGAUGGUGGCGAGUAAAAUUAAUAUUUUUGUGGACAGAUAAAUUAUCAAACCAUGUUAAAUUAAAUGUUCUUGAUUCUGGAUAUCAAUCUUAGAUUCUAAAAAUUGAUAUCGGAGACUUGGAUAAUGUUUUUCUUUUUGUCCAUAAAUCAAAGUGUUUAAAAAUAUGUUUUGAACAUAUUAAUGUGACAAGUUCAUCAAGACAACAAAAUAAUGAAUUUUUUUUGCAAAAUCAUAAUGCAUGUUCGCCUAUUUCAACUAUAAAUAGGGGUUUGCAACGGUAGAAUAUUCAAAGCAAAAAUAUACCGAGUAAUAGAGAAAAGUGAGGUAAAAUUAUAAAAAGUUUGUAAAUUGAGUUGAGAAAGGUUAUCCUCCUUCUUUGUUGUAAUUUUUAAUUCUAUUAAUAGCUAUGUGGACAAAAAAAUUAUUGAACCACGUUAAAUUAUGUGUUCUUAAUUUUGGAUAUCAAUCAUAGAUUCUAACAAUUGUUAUCAGAGCCUUGGAUGAUUUCUUUUUUCUAGAAAUCAAAGUGUUCAAAAACAUGUUUUGAAUAUACCAAUGUGACAAGGUUACCGAGAUGAACACAACAAUAAAAAUCUCAUGCAAAACAAAGACAUGAGUGAGUCCCACACAUCAAACAACUUCUCCCUUCGUGUCUUUACACAUGUUAAUCAUUCAUGUGGCCCGACAACCCGAACCAAUGACCCAUCAAUUAGACCUGACCUAGUCCAGGCCAAUGCCAUCUUAGCCUAUAUGUCACCUUCCAAGUCGAAAAUAAGUUUCAAUCACUUCAAUAUACCAUCAUCCAUGAGGUUAGACACAUUACCAACCAUGUCAGUAUGGUAGUCCUAUUAUUUGUUACGUGUCUACCACGUCACCCUUGGAUAGGGUGAUAAUCUAGUACGGUCAAAAGUAGAGGCAACCUAUAUUAUUAUUUAGUCUAAGCCAUGCAUUAUGCCAUAUUUCCUUUGAUCAAGUUUAAGAUGUCUAAAGUUAAAUUUUGAUAAUUAUAUACUAGUUUUCAACUAAUUUGAUCAUUUUAGACAUAACUACGGAGUUUGAUUGUCUAAAUCCAUAGUUAAAGUUAGUAUAAGUGGAGGAAAUCGUUAGAGAAGAAUUAAAGAUAGAUUAAUGAAUGUGUGGUCGAUGCAAAGUAAGAUCCUAAGUAUUGAAAUGGACAAAAGGAUUUUAGUAAAAAAAAGGUAUGAAUUGCAUAUAUAUCUUUUCUUUAAUGGUGAAGCUACAAUAACUAAGUAAUACUAGGGAUUAUAAAUGUAAAAGAUUUGUAUCUUAAGUUAUUAUACAUGAAGAUCGCUUUCCCUUACGGAGAUUUGAAGAAAGAUAUCUACAUGAAGUAGCUAAAUAGAUUCUCAAUAAAGGGAAAAGAGAAUAUGUUUUACAAGUUGAAAAUGAAUUUAUAUGGCUUAAAACAAGCUCUAAGAUGAAGUUAUCAAGAUAGUUUCAAGAUAGUUUGAAAUGAAGGAUUGAAAAGUGUAAAACAAACCCUUGGUGUAAGAACAAAGCUAAUGGUACCUUGAAUCUGUAUGUGAAGAAAGUUCUCUACAAAUUCAACAUGGAUAAAGCAAAAUUAAUAAGCACACCAUUAGCUAAUUAUUUCAGACUAAUUAUGGAGCAUUCAUGAAAGACAAACAAAUAAAAGAAAUACAUGAGUUAAUUUACUUAUGAUUCAACAAUCAAAAGUAUCAUAUUUAUGGUAUGUAUAAGGCUAGACAUUGUACAUCUAGUAAGAGUUAUGAGCAUAUACAUGAAUAUUCUGAGAAAAACACAUUAGGAAGCGAUCAAGUGAAUUUUGAAAUAUCUGAAUGGUUUUCAUAUAUGCCAUUUUAUUUCACAAAAUUAGACUUGAAGUUUCAAGGUUAUGUUGACGAUAAUUUGGCUGAUGACAUUGAUAACAAGAAAAGUACUAUAUGGUUUGUGUAUACUCUAGGUAAUAUAACUGUGUAUUGAGUAAGUUAUAAAAGGUUAAUUGUUUUUCUACUAUAUAGACUGAAUAUGUAGCUAUAAUUAAAGCUAUAAAGGAGAUGAUAUAGUUGCAAAGUUUCUUAAAAGAGCUAGGUAAGGACAAUGAAAAGUGUACAUUUUACGAUGACAAUCAGAGUGCAAUCUUCUUGUUAAAAAUUUAGCAUUUCAUUUUUAUGAGUAAGAAAAUUAAAAUAGACUAUUGCAUUCAUAAAAAGAGUUUGUGAGUUGAGUUGAUAGAGUUUUCUCCUUCUUUCUUGGUGUAAUUUUUAAUUUUCUAUCAUACGAGAAAAUGAGUAACUUUGUGUAAGUAGACAAAUUGCCGAACCACUUUAAAUGAUUAAAUGGAUAGUAAUUAAAUAAUUAAAUGAUUAUUAGUGUGUUUUUUUUUAUGAAAUGAAGUAAAAAGAAGAAGAAGAAGAAUUAAGACAUUAAAUUAUGCAAGAGAACACAAGAAAAUACAAAAACAAUAUAACUUCAAGCCCAUUCAAGUUCUAUAUAUAUCUCCUCCAAUUCAAUCUCUCACAUCUAUCUCGGAUGUCAUAUUUAUUAUGCAAUCUCAUAAAUUAACAAGAUAAUCAGAAAUAUUUAUUGAAAAUGUUUAAUAUUUUCAACUUGCUAAACUUUCUUUAGGAAAACCAAAAGGAAAAGGAUAUUUUUGAAUUUCUGCAUCUUCAAACCAAAAAAUCUAAUCAAAUAAUGUGUCAUCAAACUAACUUUAAAUGACUAGCCAUUGAAAUAAAAACAACAAACAAAUCCUCUUAUUUGUUUGCAUAUGACAAUCAUUUGUUUCAAGACGGCAAGUCGUCGGAACUUUAUCGAACAACUAUAUCAAUCGAUCCUUUUCUAUUAUUUUCUGCAAACACGUUUACUAAAACUUUCUAUGGGUUACUUAUUCAUGCUUUCCCACAAAUAUACUGAUGUUCUGGCAAAAUCUCAAUAAUAAUAAGUCAUACCUUUAUAACAUUCACAUUGUAGUAGUAAAUACGUUGUAUGGUUGCUCAAGUUUUUAAAAUUGAUUAAAUCAGCCCUAAUGCUCUAACAUUGGACAUAUCAACCCUCACACUUUUGGUUGUUGGUUAACCAUUGUCCCUUCAUCUACUGAGAUGCAUUGUUUUAAAACCUGGAUCUAUCUGACAAGUCAACCUGAAAUAUGGUAGACUUGAGAUCUUAACUGGUUCGAGUUGAAAAGAAAAUAGUAAAAGAAAAACACUCGGGUGACCAAUCAAAAACCUGAGUUGACUCGAUGACUCCGUAAAAACUCGACCAUCAACUUGUUGACUUUUUGUUAUGAUUUUUUUUAUUUAAAAUAAUAUCAUUUUAAUUUUUUUAAAAAAAUAAAAAUUUUAGGUUAAUUUGAAUUGACUUUUUCUAAUCGUAAUCUUAACCUUGUCUCUUUUUAAUUCCAUAACGGUUUUUAAUUAAAAUUAUGCUUAGAUGUACACUUAUUGCAAGCAACACAUGUCACGAACUUUUUAAUGAACUAUUGCUACACAUAGAGCCCACAUGUGAAUAGAAAUAAGAGUGUGAGGGUUCGCAUGGACAAAAUUAAAGUACAAGCUUGAUUCGACCAAUUUCCAAAAUCAGAUGGACAAAACGAUGAAUUUAUCCUAAUAUUUAGUGCUCUAAUCUCUUGAAUUUGCUGUAACAUUGUGAGGUUGGUUUACAUGUCUUUUCUUUAUUCCCACAUACCUGUUAAUUUGUUUUUUUAUAUUACACAAUUUAUUAAUCAUAUUUUUUUAUAUAAAAAAUCAAUUAAUUGUAACUUUUAAUUUAUUUAUAUUUACUAUUAUAUCUUUCUGUCAAUUAUUUUUGUGAAAAGUAAUCAUAUAAAUUAAUUACAUAUGAUAGUUUCAAUAUAAACUAGUAAAGAUAUCCAUUUAAAUCAAUAAAAAAACUCUUUUUAAGUGAAAAAAAUAAAAUUGUGAAGUGUGUGUUUUUCCUGCAAUAUUAGCAUAUAAACUUUUUUUUAAUAUAUCAUAUGUUUAUAUAUAGUUUAUUUUAUAAAAUGUAACUAUAUAUAUAAUAUAAGUAUUUUAAAUAUAAUAUUAUAGACAUAUAACCUUGUUAAAUAUUUUUAAAUAAAGUCUAUUAAUAUUCUUUUUGUUUUUAAAACCUCAAAAUAAUUUUUUUUUAUUGUAAAAGCUAAUUUUUUUUUUCAUUUUUAAAAUCUGAAAGCAAUGUCUAACCACCUAAAUUUGAAUGGAGAAUACAACUCUAUAACAAAAAAAUAACGAUUAACCCAUAAGAUUAGCAUAGAAAAUUUUAUUAUAAUAAGCAAUAACGCAUAACAUGAAAAACAUGUUAAAAAAGCUGAUUCAUAAAGUUGAAAUUGAAGAAGGAGAACUCUAACAGUACAAGAAACAUAUGGAGAAAAUAAUUACCUAAAGUUGUUUUUGUUAGAAAAAGAUAGAUAUUGAUGUUUAACUAAGUACGUGAAGAAAAGUAAGAAAUGGAAGUGUAUUCUUUUGCCAAGAAGAGGUCACCGUUUUCCUAGCAAAAGAAGAAUCUUAUUUUUCAAGUUUUCUAAAAUUCAUUAAAUAUAAUAAAAAUUUAGAAAGUAAUUUUCAAAAAUACAUAUAAAGUAAUUUUCAAAAAUUAUUUUCAAUCAAACAAAUAAAGCAAAAAAAAAAAAAAACAUGUAGAGUGACUGCUACAAGGACACGCUAUCUAUUUGUUUUUAUUUUGGUUCUCCAUCGAGAUUUCUUUAGUUAGUUUUUUUAUUAUUAACUUGGAUGUUCAGGCCAGCUUACACGUACCUCAACUAAUCUCACGGACCCUGAAAUUAACGACCAUAUAAACCUCCAGUGGUCAUCAUAUUAUCAACCACAGGAUUCGAUACUAGGAUUAUAAAAAAAGUAAAUUAACCCUUUAAUCUUAAGCUACAUGGUUAUAGUUGGUUUUCUCUUGAGCAAGAGAGUUGUAGUUCCAUUAAUAAAGGAUAAGGUUGGGAUAUUUAAUUAGGUUGGGAUAUUUAAUUAGGGCUAAAUUCGUAGGCAAUUUCAUAUUUCUCAAUUAUUACAUAAUUAAAGAAGACUAUCUUUAUGCGCAGCUCAAGGCACUUUAAACCUCCUUGAUGAAACAAAAAAAAAGACCAGGAACUAUUCAAAUCAUUUCCAAUAACAAGAUUAUGACACGAUCAGUCUAUAAUAUCCACGGCACCUAUCUUGAAACUACUUUUUUUUUUCUUUGAAGGUGGAGCUAAUUGACUGAUCAGAGCAAUGGAUCCAGACAGAUUAAAAGCUGGAAAGCACGAAGAACCCAGCAAAAAUAAGUAGUGGCGUGGAGUUAUGAACUCACCUGUAAAAUGGUGCCGUGAUUGCACCUUUUCAAUGGGAAUGAAACCGGGACACAAUCACUCGAGCUCAUGUAGCUUGCCAUAUUAACUGUAGCCUCUCCAAGAAUGCCAGAUCUAGCUGAUCCCUGUAAUUCAAACAAUCUUGAUCUGAACGGAUAACGAAACUAAUGUAAUAACGAAUCAAUUAGCUAGCAGUUUACAUAAGAUCUGCAGUUUAUUGACGAUCAUUAAUGAGGCAAGUAAUUGAAUAAUUAAAUUAACAAUAUUAAUUAAUACCAUGGCAACAACAAACUUGAAGAGGCAAUCGUCAUGUUCCUUUGAAGACUCAUCUUGUGAAGCAGUCCACGUGGAUUCUGACAAGCUCUCAGUCCAUUGACAAUUCCCAUUUCGAACAGCUGCUUUGCUCGUCUUUGCAAUUGUUUUUCCAGUCUCCACGGAGAUUAUAGACACAGACAGCUUGUCCCAUCCUCUUGGAACCUGUUAAUAUGAGCACGGAUAUUUGUCCACUUUCCUUAAUCUAAUCAAGUGAAAACAACCUUGCAUGAUCGACUUGUAAAAGAACUAGUACGAUGACCUGGAGCGCCUUGAAAUAGGAGAAUUUGAAAUCAAUUUUCUCCCCUGAUGAUGAUUUAGCAGCUGGCCUGGCCUUGUGCAACCGGAACAUUUCUUCUCCCUGGAUAGAAUUACUCUUGAAUUCUCCUGAGCGUUCUUGUUCAAUUGAUGGUCACAGAUUGUCAGAUAACAACAGCAACAACAACAUUACCACCAAGGAAACUCAGAAAGAGAGAGGCAGAGGGGGACAAGAUUAGCUAGCUGGUCCUUGUUGAGAAGGGUGAUAUUUUAUGUCUUACCAACUUUGGGAGUUACGUUAGUUAUAGAGUUAGAGAGAUGCAUGGGAUAUUUUACGAUUUUCCCAUUGACAGCGCUCUCAAUUUUACAAAUAACCAAACUACUCGCGUUUCACUAGGGAGAAGAGAAUUAACUCAACCUUUUGAUGUAUGGUAUGCAUUAUUAUUCCUGCGCAUACAGUGGGAAGCUAGGAUUUCUAGUGAAGGAGGGUAAAUAAUAUAUAUAUAUAUAUAUAUAUUAAAAAAAAAACUUUUUUGCUUUUUACUAUAUCUCUCAAACUAAUCUUUGUCAUCUUGUAUUUUAUUGAAAAUAUAUUCUAAUCUUUGUCAUCUUGUAUUUUAGGCGAUUAGAUUGUGAAAACAUUUUAUAUAGAUCAAAUUAGUAAAUCCAUUUUAAAUUACAAUUUUUUUUUCUAAUAAAAAAUAUAUAGAAUUGGCAAACUUAAGAUAUAUACAUAUAUUUAGUUAUUUUCAAUAUUUUUCCUGUAGAAAACUUACUUAGUUAUAAUCUAAUAACUGAGAUUAAUCAUAAUAAAUAGAAAUAAUGUAAACUCUAAAUGGUAAUUAUAAUUUAAGAAAACAAGAUCUCAAAAAUAAUAUUUUUAUAAAGUAAUUAUCCUUAAUAUAUUAGUCCUAAAAUUAAUAUGAUAAUUUUAAAUUAUAUAAAUAAUAGAUUCCUUGAUAAUCAAUUGUUGCCUUUAUGGAACUACAAAUGAUCUACAAGCAUUUCUAUUGCAGUCUCUUUUGUGUUGGUUUGGGAUUGAAUUGCCUUCAAAUCUUUACACAAGAUUUCUAUUUUAGUCUCCUUAAUUAUGAAAACAGUGUUGUGCAUACGUACAAAAUCGAUUAUUGUUUUGGAAAACUUUACUUAUUUCUCGUUUUUAAUUUUGCAUAAGAUUUUUCAAUUUAUUAUAAUCCAUGUGAAAACUUAAAUAUGAAAUCUGAUGAUUUCAUAUAAAUAUUUAAAAGUGUGGUAGAAAUUAUUUUUUUAAAGUGUUUUUUAAUUAAAUAUUAUAAUCUCAAUUUAUUUUUGAUAUUAACUCAUCAAAAUAAUUUAUAUAUAUAUUAGAUAUAUUAGUUUGUCGUUCAGCUAUAGCAUGCAUUAUUUUUCUUGACUAUAUAUAUUAGUUUGUCGUUCAGCUAUAGCAUGCAUUAUUUUUCUUGACUAUCUAAUCUCUAAUAAUUACGUGUUCUUUUUCUAAAUUAUAUGCAUGUUGAGGAUGUGUAAAUGUUACUUUCAGGGUUGUUUGUAGAGUCCACACUAUAAAUUUGAUAACCUAAGAAAUGGAAAUUUAAAUUUGUUGAUUGAGUCAAAUGACUAAUGGCACCCAGAGGACGAAGAAAAUCAGACGCGAUCGAUGGCUUUGUCAACACCUGACAGCAGAGAUGACAUGCUGGUGACCAGUUACUUGACAAGUAUCCUAUAAUUAUAAUGAGGUUUGGUCCCGAGAAACUGUCAUACCAUGCAAGAUUGAUGAUUGUUCACCUCCUCCGAGAAGAGAAGGCAAGGAAAAGAAGGAAGAGCUAAAUUAAUUAGAUGAUAAAUAUGCAUUCCAAAAGUCACUUACGAAACAUUUGAAGCACUUCUUUAGGGAUUGAAAGAUGACAAUAUUGAUUAUCUAUAUAAAUAAAAUCUUAGACUUGUUUUGAGUUUUGUAGUUUCAUGAUAUCUUGGAUUAAGAAUGACAGGUUAAGGUUGGAAGAUCCACCCAAUUCCAUAGACUUCCUUGCCGUCUUUCCAAGUUCAAUUGCUCUCCUCCUUCUGUUCUUGCCUUCUUCUCCGCCUGCAUCCAUCAACGUAAUUACUGCCUUCCUGACUUCGUCUUUCUUCACUAACACUCCAACUUUCUCUUCUUCUCCCCAUCUCACUGGAACCUCAACGCCGAUUCGCACACCGAUCCUUAAAAUCUCAACGACUAGCUUCUCAUUAAAGAAUUGCUCGGAAAACUGAGGCCAUGAUAUCAUUGGCACGCCAGAGCAGAUCCCUUCAACUGUAGAGUUCCAACCACAAUGAGUUAAGAAUCCUCCAACUGCUCUAUGGGACAAAAUAAGGACUUGAGGAGCCCAGCCUUUGAUCAGAAGCCCCCUUCCUUUGAUCCUUUCUUCAAACCUCUCCUUCACGAACCAUUCCUCUAAUUCAGAACCUCUCUCUCCAGUUUUCACUACCCAGAUAAAGGGUUUAUUUGAUGCUUCCAAACCCAAACCUAGUUCUAUCAACUGCGAUGGCACUAGGCGACAUAGGCUACCGAGGCAAGCGUAAAUAACAGACCCUGGCUCCAUAGAGUCAAGCCACUCCAAGCAUUGUGUCUUGCCAAUUGAAGCUUUGUUUCCUCUCUCAAACUUAUCUAAAUUCUGCUUGUUACAUAGAGAAACUGGUCCAACGCACCAUACUUUCUUCUUUAGAGCCUUUCCGUACUCCUCAGCACAACCAUGCUCCAACUCGUCAAAACUAUUAACCACAACCCCAUAAGCUGUAGAUUCAGCCUCUUGCAUCUCGUUACGGACGUCAUCCAAAUCAGGUAAGCUUACGAAUGCUCCCGGUAGCUGAGCCUUUGUUAUCUCAAAACUUUUUGGCAUCCCUGGCACCACAAAAGGUUCUGAAUCCGAAUUUACAGUAAGGUGAGCUUUGUGAAGCCUUAUAUUAUUAGAACUCAACAAAGAAAAGCAGCACAUGCCAUGAAAAACAAUCCGUGGGAUGUUGAAACGUUGAGCGGUUUUGGCUGUCCAGGAUAAGCACUUGUCUGAUAUUAUGCAGCUUGGACGAGGCUUGGCAUGUUCAAGUAUGCGUUCUAAUGGCUGCUGCAGCCUAGCAACUGCAAUAUAGAAUCUCUUCAGUAGGUCUCUUGAAGGUAAGGUGUCAAGAUUCUCGUAGCCGAUAGGGAGUCCCACUUCUUCGCAUGGAAACGGUAUCUGCACAAGCCGAAUAGGGAGACUAGACUCUCUUGCUCUUUCGAUUAUUGACGCAAAUCUUGAUGCAUUGUGAGGGGUAGUGACCAAACUUACAGUCACACCACGCUCUGAAAUGAGCCUGGCCAUGUCUAUCAUGGGGAUCAUGUGUCCCUGUGCCAUAAGCGGGAUCAACACAAAGUGCAGUUGACUAGACAUUGGAGGCGCCAUUACAGCAGGACUGGUAAUGUUUCUACUUAUACAAAAAUGGAGAGGAAACAAAACUGGUUUGUCAAAUGUAGGUUUCGCAAUCCCAUUAUUGGCCAAGUCUUAUUAUGUGAGCUUGACUUUGAACAAGUCAUGUUCUGAGGUGAGUGGCAAAUAUAUAGGUUGCAAUUUCCUUUUUACUUCCUUGACUCGACCGACGUGGAUCGGGUUUUGCCUUUGACAAAGUCCAAACUCAAGCAGAUCAUGAUUUUGAAUUCGAGAGCAGAGGAGUGGAGUCACAUGUUGCAUAUUUUGACCCGACCUGCACGCCUGCAACCAGUAGUUGUCAUGGACUUGGUUUUUUUUUUUUUAAUUAUCUCUUUAAAUGGCUUUCUUUUUCUUUUUUUUUCCCUUGAUUUGCUUCUCUAAAUGAUCACCUUUUUGUUUUUGUUUUAUAGAGUUCAUAUCGAGCAGUUCAAAAAUGAGUUUUGCACAUUGAUUUGUUGAUAAGUAUGCAAAGGAUUGAAACUUCUACCUGUUGCUUUUCGUUAAGAUUGCUUGUGGAAGUUAUGGAAGCUGGACGAAGGGAAUUGUAUUCAAAGUUAAUAGUCAUAUCAUCUUGUCACCAUAUUCAGCCCUUGAAGCCAGUAAUUGACUGUAUUACAUUCAAUAUCGGCCCUGUUAAUCUAUGGGCUGUGGCCUUAAUUAUAAUCCUCUCCGACAUGCCUCUGCUCUCAUUUGACGAUGAAAUGCUAUUUGUUUUCGUUUUUGAAAAAUAAUUUAAAAAAAUGAAAUUUUAUUUUAUUUUUUUCUUGUUUUAACUUUAUUUUUUUAUUUUUAAAUUAUUAUGAUAUAUUGAUGUUAAAAAUAAAUUUUAAAAAAUAAAAAAAAUAUUAUUUUAAUAUAUUUUUUAAAAAAACAAUACCUUAAAAAACAACAUUUAUUAAACUUUCAACCACCUCAAAACUCACUUGCAAUGCUGCCGUAACUUCUUUAUUUUCCUUAUAUAUAUAUAUAUAUACAGUGUGUGUGUGUGAAUUGUUGCAUGUGAAAACGAUCUUAUAAAUUGUUGUGUGAAAUGAUCUAAAAUGGAGAUAUUGGAUGAAAGCCAUAAAUGUUGAAUAUAGUUGGCACAUUUGUUAUGCCAUAAUGCAAAGUGUUUUCUUUUCCCGUAACUUUUGAUCCUGUAUUUCAAAAAAAAAAUUAAAAAAAUUUAUUUUAUUUUUAUUUUAAAUUUUUUUAAUAUUUUUAGAUCAUUUUAAUUUAAUAUAUUAAUAUUAAAAAUAAAUUUUUUUUUAAAAAAAUAUUUAUUAUCUUGAUUUACUUUUUAAAUUAAAUUGAUAUUGCUUGUGGCGGCAGGUGUAUCAUUGCUGCAUGUAAAGCUGACUUGACUUUGACUAAUUCCAUUUGAUUUAGCCAAAAGGAAAUUAUACGUGGCAGUUUUCCUCAACUUAUAAUUUGGCUUAAUUGACUCCAUAAUGCUAUAGCUAGCGUGCCACACGCGAUAAACUCUUUUCGUACUCUAGGAUGUAAAAAUCGAGGUUGUCUAUUCUAUUUUGAUAGGUAAUUUAAUUUUUUAAUUAAAAUAAAAUAUUUUAAUUUUAAAGUAUUUUAACGUGUCGUUUUGGGGUUGUACUAUUUAUAUAUAUAUAUAUAUAUAUAUAUAUAUAUAUAUUCAAUAAAUAUAAUUCAAAUUUAAAAUAAAUUAAUUAUAAAUUAUGCAAUACAAACACAAUGCCAAAUAAAUAUAAUUUUAAAAUUUAAAAUAUUUCUAAAUAGUUAAGAUUAAAUAGAUCUUUAACUUAAAGUAAUUCAAUUUAAACAAAAUAUCAAAAUAUUAUGAAAGUAAAAUGUUCUAACACAAAUAUUUUAAAUAUAAAAUUAGGUCAAUGUUAUCAAGAAUAAUGGAAUCUAAAGCAUCCUUUUUUGUGCUCAAAUUCCCCCAAAGUAUAAACAUGAAAAAAACAACAUGAAUAUAAAUUAUAUAUAUUAGUGAUAAAUCUAAUUUUAAAAAAUUAAUAUCAUUGUUAAUGAAAAUAGUAAUAAUAAUUUUCAAUAUUAUUAUUAAUAUCAUUGUUAUUGAAAAUAGUAAUGAAAAAGAGCUUUUUAUACUUGGGUGGUUUAAUUAAUUAAAUUUGAACAAGGUUCAAUUUGAUUCAAUGGCUUUUCAAGAACAAAAUGGAACAUGUGGAAUGAAACCGGAACGUUCCGGCCGAAAUUUAGCUGAAAAAUCCGGAACGAACCGAGAUUUAAAAUGAGAUGAAAAUUGUUCCGUUUUGUUCUGUUUUUUGAAUUGGUAUGGAAUGUUUCGGUCAUUCCGGACGAAACAAAACAAAAUUGACAACCUUGGUAAAACUUGUCCCUUUGUUUCUCUUUCUUCUUUAUUUAUUUAUUUAUUUAUUUAUUAUUAUAAGCAAUCAUUUGGCCUCUCUUUUUUGUCAGAAUAUUAAUUAUUUACAAGACCUCAAAAUGAACUUAAAUUAUUUUUCUUGGUUUAAAUUCGAUGUUUAAAAUGUCCCUUUAAGCUUGCAGAAAAUCUAAGUCUUUUUAAUUAUAUAGACAAGAUGGAACAACUAUUAUAUAUAUUCUCACUCGAAUUGUGAGUAUGAAAUAUAUUUUUUAUUAAUUAAUUUAGUCUAAGCAUGUUUUUAUUUUAAAUCAACUUAUCUUACUUUAUUUGCAAAAUAAAUGGGAAAUGAUCGUAAAUAUUGAAUGAUUCCUAAUUAUGAAUGAAGGAGAGUAUAAAUCUCUAGCGCAAAUCAUGAACACCUCGCGCCGCUUAAUUCCCUUUUUUUUUUAAUAAUAAUGUAGCUCGCCACGUAAUUCUUAAUAUAAGUCCAAUCUUUUUCCUAGCCUUUUAAUUAUUUGAAAUAAAUAGCUAAAUAACACCUUUCAUUCGUAUAAGAGGUAAUUUUUAAUUUGUUCGUAUUACUUGUAUGUUUAUGAUUUUAAAGGAUUUUCUUAUCUCUUGUUUAUAAACAUAGAUAUAAUUGAAUAUUAAAAUUGAUCAUUUAAAAAUUUGAUUGAAACAUGCGACUAGUUAUUUAUUUUAGAAAUAUUUAAAAUUAUAAUAAAAGUUGUUUUUCAAAAUAUUUUUUAUUUAAAAAUAAAUUAAAAUAUUAUUUUUUUUAUUUUUAAAAAAUUAUUUUUAAUAUCUAUAUAUCAAAACACGAUUCAAAAACACAUUUUUUACAUGGAGACAGUUGUUAGCAAUUUUGUUGUGCUAUCAUUAACAGAGUUCAUCUAUAUAAUGGAUUUGAAGGUGUGCAGCUUUGAAGCCUAGCACAAGCACAGCUCAUAAAACAAUUAUCAGCACACUGAAGAAAUACAGGGAGGGGAAGAGGAAUCGACAUAUAUUUCAACCAACUGAUAUUUCAUUGAUACCCUAAACUAAUGUAUCUUAGGCAAAAGACAGCAAGGUUGUUAUUGAAGAAAUGCACUAAGACUAAGAACUACAACAAAUGGAACUGAGGAAUCCAUCCUACCUCUCAAUUAUUCGCAUAUACUCGUUUUUCAACUUUUCUUUCAAAUGGCUAAGAAAAAAAAAUACAAGAAUGUUUGCCUAUGAAUCCAUAUGAAGAGUGCUUGCAAUGCACAGGAGGGAAAAAUAGAAACUACCGACUCUCUUGUCCUGAGAGGUAAGAUCGUGCCAAUGAACAAGCUUUUUCCUUCCGCCUUUUGAAUUCAUCGUAUCGCAGGAAGAAAUAACCCAGAUAAUCAAAAUCUAUAGGAGACAUCUUGGCCUGUUAAUAGAAACAUUAUCAAUCACUAUCAUAUGGUUUAGUGGGCAUGGCUGGUAGAGAUAAAGGGUCAUAAUUACCUGGAUUAGUGCCCAUAAAGCCCAAAAUAAGUGUGAAACUAACAUGUAAGUGUUUGACUCUACGUAUAGAGCUUCAAGGUCUUUGUCCGAUACCUGUAGGAAUUCAUGAUCUGUCAGAUACCUGUUAGAAAUAAUAGCCAAUUGUAGUGCCUUGAAAUCCAAAACUUAAAAAUCACAGGUGGAUGCAGUUUGAAUACAUUUAUAGGGUCAGGUGUAUCUAGACCCUGCUAUCAGACUCAUCUAGCCCAGGGAAGUAUGAACUACUAAUGAAGAUCCAAGAUUCAGGAUCAAAGUAACAGGUGAACUUCAUAAUCAAUAAAAUUCAACUUCCCAUGCCAGUAUUCAUCUAAAAUGAGUCAAAGAGAGGUUUGCUCACAAGUAGACGAUCUUUGUAGCAAAAUCAUAAGAGAAAGAGCAAGAUUAACUAUCAAUGAUUCAUUGAAAAACAAAGAUUAAACAUCCAUGGUGCUAGCAGUGAAACCUCACAAAGUAGGGUUAGGCAUCAAAUGAAGGCACACAAAAUAUUCAACGGAAAAAUGAUAUAAGAAUGAAGAAAGGCUACAUUGGGAUUUAACAUAUGAUUAUUUAGGGAAUUUGUUUUUGUAUUUUUCCAUUUAACACCUCUUGCAUCUUCUAAAAUAUGGAAGAGCUGCAUAGCAUAGAUCAAAUAAAUAAAGGUGGCACCACAUGUCAGAAGAUUUCCACAAAGGAGAUUCCACUGCUUUUUUCAAAAGUGCAAUUGAGGAUGACACUUGAUCAAAACCAAAACUUCUGAUAAAGACAUAUCAUGGUUGCAUUUCUAUGUUUGCUGAGUAAGGAAUUCAAUCCCGUUAGUUAAUUUCAAAAUGAUAAAGCACAGCUAACUCAUUCAGGAUUUGAACAUAUCGAACAUAAUCAAUAAUUCAGAAUUAAAAAGUUUUUAAUGCAGGUCAUAUAUAAACUAAAAAGUCCAUUUACAUACCAUUGAAAAAAUAAUUUUCAAAUGACCAUCGUACCUCAUGCGGUUUAUCAGGUUGUAAAUAAUGCCUGAAGAAAUGAUAUUGCUCAUCCUUACUUGGGUAUCUACAUUAAACGAAUUCAAUUGUCAACAAAUCUACACAUGCAACUGAAAAUGGAGAAAACAAGAAGAAGAAAAAUUGAAGACAUACAAGCUGUAGUCACAAUCAUAGCCUGCAUAUUCAUUGAAGUGAUUUCCAAUGUCAUAACCUCUGUAACUGUAUGAUCCAUACUCGAAAUCAAUGAUGUAGAGUUUCUCUGAAAAUUAAUAAGAUUAGUAAUGAGAUCAAUAGUACAAGACUGAGGAAAAAAUAUCCGCAAAUUAAAACACUCUUUUGGCACAAUAUUUCCUGUAAGCACAUCAGGCACUGUCUCGGGAAAUCUCACUGCAUUUUCAAAGUCUGUUUGCCUUUAACAUUUUGGACAAAUUGGAAGCUAUAAUGACGGCAGAUGCCAGAGGCACACCCAUGUUCUUGUAAUAAUUUUAAUUACUAGACAAUCAAAAUAAAAUGUCAAAAUGCAAUGACAUUCUUAUAAUCCAAAUGAAAUCCCUGUCAUUGGACACCUCAUGCAAUAGUCCUAAUAAGAAAAUUCCAUUCUUCCAUUAAUUAUCAUUUCCUUUUUCCUAUUUGGUUUUCUACUUCUUACUUAGAUUCGAACCACUAGGCUUUUUGGUACAUACUGCAUAUAGAAGGAACACAUAAUUUACGUAAUCAUAAGCAUUUUGAUAAUGGAACCAAGAGUAUCUUGUUUAGUUUGAAGGCUGCAUGCCUAGAGUGUUUCUUCUCUUUUCUCUAGUGCUGUUUCUGUCUUCUUCCUUUCUUGAUUGCUACAGUACCUUGGUUACUAUUCACAGAACUAACCUUACCCUCAAAUCUUCUGGAUAAUCAAUCCAAUACCGUAUACCCUAACUCUGGCUCCCACCUAAAACACCAAAUUUCAACAACCUCAAGGCUGUCCUGCAACACUUGAUGUAGCUUAGAUUCAAUAACAGAUUAAAAAAUUCAUUGGCAAUGGCCCUGUUCAAUACUGCAAUUCUUGAAAGACCAACCAAGAUUGAUUUCUCCAUGUUUACAACUAGAAGAUAUAAUGCCGACAUCCCCUUAGUAUCUGUAACUUUUACCAUGUGUUUACUACUGAAAUACAUCAGAAAAGGAGCAGAAACAACACCAAUUGAGAUAGAGAGAGAUUAUAAAAAUAAUGCAUAUUUAAAGACAGAAACCAACAAAGUAGAAUAUUAAUACCAAGAAUAACAUGCUGCCACUCUAUUAAAACAGAUAAAGGGGUAAAAUGGAGGAAAAUGCAUAUUAAAAAUCAGUUUUCAUUGACACCUUCAUCGUCAUUAAGCAUCAGAUUCCCUGAAAGCAAGUCAUUAUGAGCGAAAACCACUGGAGCAUUGAGAAGAUCUGUCAAUUCCUGUUCAAUUAUCAUGAAAUAGACCUCCAUAAGUAGGAAGGAAAUCACUAUAAACCUUGCAAGUAAUCAACUGAAAAAUGGAAAUCCCAUGUAGUUCCAAAGUCAAGAAUGUGAACUCGUCUGUGAUUAUGAAACACUAAUAAGUAUAGCUAUUUCCAGAAGAAAAAAAAAAGGAACUAAGGAAGGCCAAGGGAAACACCAUGUUGUCUGCCUUGUACCUGAUACCAUCUAACAGUUUCAAUCCACACAUAUAGAUUUAUUACUAACAACUACAAGGAGCAUCUGGCAUUUAUAAUACUUUUUCUACACAAGACUGUUAAUUAGUUCAGUUUCACAAUAUCACGUGCAAGUUACUAAGGGUCUUGGAAGUCAUCCUUUAAAGCAUGUUCAACAGUUCUCUAGCGUAGACUACCUUAAAAGUCUGCAACAGUGCAUUUUAUUCAUUGUACUCAAUUUUCAUGCACGUACCUACAAAAUAUUUAAACUAAAAAAAUCUUGAACUUUCAAAUGCAUGUUAACAACAUGGGUCAACGCAUUAGGAAACUUAAAAACAGGUUUCAUGUAAGGUGCAAGUACAAAAGACUAGUCUCUAAGGCCAAAAGCUUCAGAGAAAAAGGAUAGACUAACAAGAUACCAAUUACAAAGAAAAUUUACGGAAGGAGGAUCACCUUGAUUUCAACAACUUCAUUGUAAACUUCCUUGAACAAAAUGGUCUCAUAUUUUUUUCGCUUCUCAAUAUCAUCAAAGUGAAGAGUGGAUGCUGCAACAAGAAGAGGCCAUUGAAAAUGAAAAAUUAACAACUAAUGGGCAUGGCAUGACUGUUACAUCAACAUUCAAGGAUAUCCAAUGGUUGAACUGACAAAAGUUGAAAGCACCUUUACCAAAUUGAUUUCAAAUAAAAAUGGGCAGAUGCUUAUGAAACAUAAAAUCAAGGAAGCAAGUUAGAGACAGAAAAUAUACCAUUUUCAUAGAACUUGAAGAUGUCAUUCCACAACUGAGGUUCUUUAGAGCCUGGAAUAUCCACCCGAUGGAAUUUAUGGAGUUGCUUGGCAAUUUCAGCAGCCAGCUUCGGCUCUCUCAUGUCUGCAAUUGAUGAGGAUGCAAGGUUAAGAAAAUCAAGAGAGAGAGGGCGAGAGAAAGGGCAGGAGAGGAAAGAGAAGCAAAAAAAGGUUAAGAUUAAGAACCUUCAUAAACUCAAUUUUUCAGUGUUUUCAUCAAGUAAUCAUUUAUGGUAGAUGUGUUUUAUAGCUAUACGGUUGGUCAGGAAAAUUUGAAGUUAAUCAAGAUAAUCAAAAGUAAAAGGCAAGUCUUCGAGAAAUAAAUGCAAAUAAAUUCGAUCAAAUUUUGAGACCGGUGAAUUGUGUUGAAGGCAUACACUACUGAAGACUUAAAAGGGGGUGCGGUGCAACAAAAGAAGUUGAAUUUAAAGGCAUAUGAAAAUAAGGAAGGGAUAAUAAAGGAAGCGAGUGGGUUGUCAUGGUUUACCUUGCGGAAUCAGUGUUCGUGCAUUUAUAAAAGAUUGGACCAUGCCAUUUUGAAAUACUCCAAGCAACUUGGCACCAAAUCCUGCAGCCGAGAGGUAUUUGAUGGCCUGAAAUCAAUUUUUUGUUGUUGUUGUUGUAAGCAUAUCAAAGGAAAUGAAAGCUCCUAUUGUUGUCCAUCCAAUAAAUUAAAAGGUAACAAGUAAUCAUAGAAAAUCAAUCACCUGAAGCUCGCGUUCUCGAUUGAUAACAUAAUCAGUGUUGGGACCAUAUAAUCUAACAGUUACAGGCACCUCAUUUCCAUCUUCUUCCUUCACAGAUACCUUCAGCACUGCACAAAUUCUCAUUUAGGCACGUCUGCCUAUUCAAGUUCAAAAGGCAAAUACGAAAGAAAGUAAUAAUGCUCACAGAGAUUUGUUAUGCCACCGGAAACCGUCUCAACAGAGAAGGAAGAAUCAUCCAAUCUUGACCAUUUCUUAAACAAAUCCUUGCACAGCUCUCUGAUAUUGAAGAACAAAAAAUAAAUAAACACGAAUGAUUCUUCUUCUUACUUUCUUAUUUAAAAAAAAAAGAGAGAGAGAGGUGAAAGAAACGAACAUGAGAGGCGGAGUCAAAUCAGGUAGGGAAAGGGAGGUAUCGAGGGUGAGGGAUGCAGAUUGAAGAACAUGAGAGCUCGAGUUAUCUCCUCUAGCUCCCUCUGCUACCUCCAUUGCUUUCCAGAUCUCUCUCUCGCUCUCUGAUUCAGUACGCGACCCCAUGUUUGUUAUAUUUCCGACUUGUUUCUUUCGGAUUACUAAAAUAGAGUUCUAUAUUUUAUUUAAGAUUUUAGAUUCCCAUUUGUGCAAAAUGUUAAAAAUAAUGGGGUGCUCAACAACUACAAAAAGAAUCUCUGAUUCCCACCCAAAUCAUGGCCCGCCCAACUGUCCUUGAAAAUUCUCCCAGAAUUCAAAUUCAAACCCUAAUUACCAUUUACCGAUACCCAAGACUCCACAACUGGUUGUUAAAAUGCUGGCUAUUGAAGGGUUAAUACCGUGUUAAGGGAAAUUAUCACUAAAAUAUCAAGGAAGAAAGCAUUGCAGCAGCUGUCGGCAUGUGCUGCUCUGCAAACAAAUUACAGUAAUAAUAGCAAGAAAAUACCUGAAUCUGAUUAUAGUCCUGGUGGCGAAUCCAACAAAAUUUUAUUUUAUUUAACAAGUCAGACACAUAAAAUACAUGCGUGCAAGGAUGGAUGACGUUUUUUAAGCCGGUCAGGAAAUUGGUUGCUUAACUCAAGGUCGCUAAGCUGAUGUAAUACCCUAAAAGGUCAUCGCAACUUUUCUUCUCACGCUAUCCAUCAGUAUUAUUCAAUGUAGAAAAGUAAAAAUAAUAAUAAAAUACCAACAAUGCUCCGGCUGGUAUGUCGUUUGCACAAGGCUUUAUUUAAUAAUAUAAUUUUUUUAUUGAUUUUUUUAUAUAAUUUUUAUUUAUUUUUAAUUUCAUUUUUUUUAUCUAAAUUUAUGAUAUAUUAUUUUUUCAAUUUGAUCCUUAUUUUUUUUCUUUACCAUAAUUUUUUUAUUUUUUAUUUUACCAUUCAAUCCAAAUCUAUAAUAUUUUAUCCUUAUUUUUUUCCUUUACCCUUUUGAAUAAUUUUUUUGUUUUUAAUUUUAUCCUUCAAUUCAAAUCUAUAAUGUAUUAUUUUUAAAAUUUAAUUUUUAUUCUUUUUUUUUGUCAUUUUGUUAAAGUGAUUUUUCUUUUCAAUUUCACCUUUUGAGUGAAAAUUCAUAGUUGUUCUCUAAUUUAUUUUUUAUUUCAAUUUUGAUUCUUAUUCUUUUAAUUGUUAUUUUUUGUUUUGGAGCCUUUUGUAUAAUUUUUUUUUCGAUUUCAUUCUUCAAUAUUUGAUUAGUUAGAGAUUGGACUUCAUGAUUUUUCUAUGUAUGGUGCUUCUGGUCUAAUAACUCGAGUUACAAGUUUAAAAAGUUAUCAUAAGUUGACAUUCUUUGUUUUAUCUGCUUUUACUUAAUUUUUUUGGGUGAUUUCAACGUUUAACAUUAGUUUUUUCUUUAAAAAAAAUGGGUUGUGUAGUUUUUUUUAAUUUAUUUUCUAUCAAGUUAUCCUAAUCUCAAAAUCUAGAUUGCAUGUUUGAUAGAUUAACCCGAGAUGGCUCGUCUUUUAUCACCCAAGCUAAAUAUCCUUUUUAUUGUCAAUGGUGUUGGCAUCAAACCUAGUGAUUCCUUCCUACUCUACUGGUCUUACCUGGAGAUUAUUUUUUUAUAUAUAGGACAAUAUGGAAAUCAAUGUAUCAAAAUCAGAGGAAGUUUUACUUUUUAUUGUGCACACGAGCUUUUGGUUGCAAGAGAAUUGGACAGAUUUGAUGUUGGUGAAGACCGUAGAGUAGUGGGAAUUGAUGUAUUUGUAGUGUUCGACAAAAACCUCGAGGGAGGAGUUGGAAAUCCAUAAUAUUUCAUGCACUUUAGAUAUUAAAUUUCUAUAAUAUUCUUGAAUUUUCUCAUUAAUUGAGCUCGUGCACAUCUGCUGGAUAUAUAUAAAGUGUUUCCAACUAUAUAAAUAGUAUAAUAAAUAGUAUAAUGUAAAGUAUAGUUUUUAAAAAUUGGCUUACCUUUUAUUACCCAAACUAAAUGUCCUUUUUAUUGUCAAUGGUGUUGGCAUCAAACCUAGUGAUUCCUUCCUACUCUACUGGUCUUACCUGGAGAUUAUUUUUUUAUAUAGGAGAAUAUGGAAAUUAAUGUAGCAAAAUCAGAGGAAGUUUUACUUUUUAAUUGUGCACACAAGCUUCUUUUUUUUUUUUUAGUUUAACGUGGGUGUCCGAGUCAGCUUGCGCGCACCUCGAUUAAUCCCACGGGCCCUGAAGUUAACGACCAUGUAAGCCUCUAGUGGCCAUCAUAUGAGCAACCAUAAGGCUCGAACCUGAGACCACAGAGAGCAAACCUUUUAGUCAUAAGUUUUUACUACUAGAACACCUCCUAGAUGGUUAUGCACACGAGCUUUUGGUUGCAAGAGAAUUGGACAGACUUGAUGUUGGUGAAGACCGUAGAAGUAGUAGAAAUUGAUGUAUAAUACGGUAGUGUUCGACAAAAACCUCGAGGGAGGAGUUGGAAAUCCAUAAUAUUUCAUGCACUUUAGAUAUUAAAUUUCUAUAAUAUUCUUGAAUUUUCUCAUUAAUUGAGCUCGUGCACAUCUGCUGGAUAUAUAUAAAGUGUUUCCAACUAUAUAAAUAGUAUAAUGUAAAGUAUAGUUUUUAAAAAAUUAGGGAUAAAAUAUUACCGCGCUCAAAAUAUUAGGAAGACUAAAAUAAUUUUUCCAAAUAAAAAACAUGUCUACGAGUCUUGAAAGUAAAGAAAAGGGAAUAUAAGACUCAAUAAAGUAGUUGAAGAAGAUACUUUAUAUAAAUAUUUGAUAUUUUAAUAUUUUUAGUUAAAGUUAAAAAGUAUGUCGAUGAAACAAAGAUCUGAUUUUUGGGAAAUUAAAACCUCAGGGAUUCAUAAAGAAAUGAAUAUGAAGUUAAGGAAAUUUAAGAUUUUGUAAUUUAAAUUUUGAGGUAAAGAAAUGAGAAAACCAAAAUAAUAAAAAAAUCAUGAAAGCCCUACCACACAUGAACCUGUUUAUAAAAAAAAAUGUAAUUUUUUGUUAUAGUAAUUUUUUUAAAAAGUAAACUUGACAAGUGUAGUUCAACUUGUCAGGUUAUAAGUUUGCUCGCUAGAAAUUACUAGUUCGAGUUUCACAAACUUAAAAGACACUAGAAGUUUACAUGGUUGUUAAUUUCAGGGCUUGUGGGAUUAGUCGAGGUGCGUGCAAGUUAAUCUGAAUACAUAUAUUAAUAAAAAAAAAUUAUUUUAAAAAAUAACUUUAUUUUACUGAAAAAAGAUUGAGAGUACAAGUAAGAUAAGAAAUAUCAUUUUUGUUUUUUACGGUGUGUUGUUGAGAUUUGACCAAUGCCAAUUCAUUAUCUAAGAAAAAUCCUGAAAAAGAUUGACUUAUCCUCCUCGCGUAUAAGGCAGCACCGCCCUAGAGAACAAGAUUGACUUUUCUUCCUCACAGCCAUGGUCUUGUCAGAGCCAGCUAGUCACCUGCCGUCAGGAACUUGAUUUAAAAUUACAAUCAAUGGUAAUUUUUUUAGUAAUUAAUAAAUAUUAUUGAUUAAAUUAAUUUAUUAUAUUUAAUUAUUUUAAAUUUAGUAACUAAUAUAUAGCUUGCGUUUAAUAUGAAAACGUACAUAAUUUUCUCACCAUUAGAAAUUCUUAAAAUUACGUUUUUAUUUUACUUAGUCUUUCAAAUCUCUCUACACGUAAUUUAAGACUUUUUUUCUUUAUAUAUUCCUUUCAAGUUUCAUUACACUUUCUUUUUUGUAUUUUAUUAUAUCAAAUGCACAAAAAGGGUUAUUGAAAUGUUCUUUAUGGUUUGGUGGUUUUGAUAGAAACCAUAUGAGAUUUUAAGCUUAUUUGAUUUUGUAUAAUUAUUUUAAUGCCUGAGUGAGUCAUUUUAAUGGAUGCCCAAAUGAGGUAUUUUGUUUGUCUUCAAUAUGCUGAAUCAAUCUAGUAGAAACUAGGUUGGGAUAUUGUUUUGUUUUUCUUUGAGUUGAUUAUGAAGGAUUUAGUAAUUAAUUUAUUAUAGUUCAAUGAUUAAGAGCUUUAUUUUUUUUACAGAGAAUUCAAAGCUUAUAGCAUAUAUUGUUGUCUAAUUUUUUUUUUUAAUUUUGAUAUUCCUUUUGAAGUUUAAUGAUAAAAAUUGAAUUUAUGAAGUUUGGAAUGAGAGUGUAUCUCAAUUCCUAGAGAAGGCCAAGUCAUAUAUUAAUAAAUAAAAAAUAUGUACAAGCUAAACAACCUAGAAAUACUUUUAAUCUCGCUGAAAAGAAAACAAAUCUAUUAAGUUUAAUACAUGGCGAUAUUUUUUAUAGUAAUAAUAUUUUGACUUGUGGUGAUAAAAGAUAUUCUAAAACUUUUAUUGAUGACUUUUCAAGAUAUUAUUAUGUUUAUUUUACUAACUCUAAAAAUGAAUUGUUUGAUAAGUUUAAAAUUUUUAAUGCAAAAUUUGAAAUUUGAUUUGAAAAAAAAAAUAAAAAAAUUACAAUUUGAUAAAUGUGGUGAGUAUGCUUCUAAUGAAAUAAAUGAAUUUUUAGAAUUAUAUGGUAUUAUACAUCAAGUAACACCUCCUUGUUCACCACAAUCUAAUGAGAUAGUAGAAAGAAAAAAAUAAAAAUUUGAUGAAUAUGGUUAAUGCAAUAUUAAUUAGUUCUAGUUUGUCUAAUAACUUAUGAGGUGAAGUUUUGUAUUAUGCUUAUUGUAUUCUUAAUAGAUUUUCUUAUAAAAAUUUGGAUAAAAUGUCAUAUGGAUUUUGGAAGAAUAAAAUUAUUUGGGAUUCUUUUUAAACAAAUUUAGAGUUGUUUAGGGAUUUAUUACAUGAAGAUAUGAUCUUCUUUGACUUUGAAUAAUUCUUUAAAGGAUAGGUUGUCUCAAACAAUAAGUCAUUUAAUUGUCCGGCCUCCAAUGAUAAUUCACACAAACCAUUAGUUAGAAAUCUCUAAAAUCCCUAUUUAGGAGAGAAUGAUUGUUAUUUCUAGAAUGUUAGCUAUCUUUUCUGUGACUUGUAUAGUUUAAUACUAUUUUUAGGAAAAUAUGAAAAAUUCUAUAAAUUAAAAAAAUAUCAAUUUGUCCCCUAAAUAAUAUAUAUAUUAAUUCAAAACAAUUUUAGAAAUUAACUCAAUCAAGUACUUACUUGAUUUUUCUAAGUUUAGAAAUAUAAUCCUUAUAUUAAUUAUAUUAUAGUCCUUAAUUUCUAAAAUAUAUUUUAAUCAAGUUAUAUUUAAUUAAAUCAUCUCAGUUUAAUUUCUUACUAAUGGUUCUUAAUGUAUGUGACUCAUUAAGUUUCUAAUAUGUUAGCCUAAAUAUAAAUUUUGAUUUUGACUAAAUAGAAUAAAAUAAAUUAAACAAUUUAAUUUAUUAUCAAUUCAAUAAUUGAUUAAUUUAUAUUUAAAGAUUAGGUGCAUCAUUUAGCAAUGUAUCAUGAUCCUUCAAAUAUUAGAAAUGUCAUUAUAGUCUAACUUAACAUUUCAGUGAUCGAUUUCUCAGUGUAAUUAAUAUACUUCCAUCAAUAAUUUUCCGAUUUAACAUUAAAACAUGAGAUAUGUAUGUUAUGUUAAAUUAUGUUUGUUCUCCACAUAUUAAUCAUUAAUUGUUUGAAUAAGAUUUGAAACUCCUUUUCAAAUCUCAUCAUAUCUUAAUCAAGGAUUUCUCGGUCAAUACUAUUUAAGAACAUAUAAAAUAUUUUUUCUAAUUUAUCUAACAUGGAUGACGAGAACAUCUAAACUCUCACUGAUUAAUUUUUUGUUUUCAAUUUUAUCCUUCAAUCUAAAUUUAGAAUAUAUUAUUUUUAAAAUUUGAUUAUUAUUCUUUUGAUUUUUUUUGUAAUUUUAUUAAAGUGAUUUUUCUUUUCAAUUUCACCUUUUGAGUGAAAAUUCAUAGUUGUCUUCUAAUUUAUUUUUUAUUUCAAUUUUGAUUCUUAUUUUUUUAAUUAUUAUUUUUUGUUUUGGAUUCUUUUGUAUAUAUUUUUUUUUAAUUUCAUCCUUCAAUAUUUGAUUAGUUAGAGAUUGGACUUCAUGAUUUUUCUAUAUACGAUGCUUCCGGUCUAAUAACUCAAGUUACGGGUUUAAAAAGUUAUCAUAAGUUGAUAUUCUUUGUUUUAUCUGCUUUUUACUUAUUUUCUUUGGGUGAUUUCAACGUUUAACAUUAGUUUUUUCUUUAAAAAAAAAAUGAAUUAUGUGAUUUUAUUCUUAUUUUCUAUUGGGUUCUUCUAAUCUCAAGAUCUAGAUCGCAUGUUUGAUGGAUUAACCCGAGUUGGCUUACCUUUUAUUACCCAAACUAAAUGUCAUUUUUAUUGUCAAUGGUGUUGGCAUCAAACCUAGUGAUUCCUUCCUACUCUACUGGUCUUACCUGGAGAUUAUUUUUUUAUAUAGGAGAAUAUGGAAAUUAAUGUAGCAAAAUCAGAGGAAGUUUUACUUUUGAAUUGUGCACACAAGCUGUUUUUUUUUUUAGUUUAACGUGGGUGUCCGAGUCAGCUUGCGCGCACCUCGAUUAAUCCCACGGGCCCUGAAGUUAACGACCAUGUAAGCCUCUAGUGGCCAUCAUAUAAGCAACCAUAAGGCUCGAACCUGAAACCACAAAGAGCAAACCUUUUAGUCAUAAGUUCUUACUACUAGAACACCUCCUAAAUGGUUAUGCACACGAGCUUUUGGUUGCAAGAGAAUUGGAGAGACUUGAUGUUGGUGAAGACCGUAGAAGUAGUAGAAAUUGAUGUAUAAUACGGUAGUGUUCGACAAAAACCUCGAGGGAGGAGUUGGAAAUCCAUAAUAUUUCAUGCACUUUAGAUAUUAAAUUUCUAUAAUAUUCUUGAAUUUUCUCAUUAAUUGAGCUCGUGCACAUCUGCUGGAUAUAUAUAAAGUGUUUCCAACUAUAUAAAUAGUAUAAUGUAAAGUAUAGUUUUUAAAAAAUUAGGGAUAAAAUAUUAACGCGCUCAAAAUAUUAGGAAGACUAAAAUAAUUUUUCCAAAUAAAAAACAUGUCUACGAGUCUUGAAAGUAAAGAAAAGGGAAUAUAAGACUCAAUAAAGUAGUUGAAGAAGAUACUUUAUAUAAAUAUUUGAUAUUUUAAUAUUUUUAGUUAAAGUUAAAAAGUAUGUCGAUGAAACAAAGAUCUGAUUUUUGGGAAAUUAAAACCUCAGGGAUUCAUAAAGAAAUGAAUAUGAAGUUAAGGAAAUUUAAGAUUUUGUAAUUUAAAUUUUGAGGUAAAGAAAUGAGAAAACCAAAAUAAAUAAAUAAAAAUUAUAAAAGUCAUAUCACACAUGAACAUGUUUAUAAAAAAAGAUGUGAUUUUUUGUUAUAGUAAUUAUUUAAAAAAUUAAUCUUGAGGGGUAUAACUUAACUUGUCAGGCUCUAAAUUUAUUUUCUAGAAAUCACCAAUUCGAAUUUUACAAACCUCAGGUUACUAGAGAUUUACAUGGUCAUUAACUUCAGGGCUUGUGGAAUUAAUCGAGGUGUGUGUAAGCUGAUCCGAAUAACCACAUUAAUAAAAAAAAAUUAUUUUUAAAAAAAAAUUUAUUUUUAUAAAAAAAGAUUGAGAGGACAAGUAGGAUAAGAAAUAUCUUCUUUUUUUACGGUGUGUUGAAAAUAUUGACCAAUGCCAAUUCAUUAUCUAAGAAAGAAUCGUGAAAAAGAUUGACUUAUCUUCCUCGCGUAUAAUGCAGCACCGCCCUAGAGAACAAGAUUGACUUAUCUUCCUCACAGCCAUGGUCUUGUCAGAGCCAGCUAGUCACCUGCCGUCAGGAACUUGAUUUAAAAUUACAAUCAAUGGUAAUUUUUUUAGUAAUUAAUAAAUUUUAUUGAUUAAAUUAAUUUAUUAUAUUUAAUUAUUUUAAAUUUAGUAACUAAUAUAUAGCUUGUGUUUAAUAUGAAAACAUACAUAAUUUUCUCACCAUUAAAAAUUCUUAAAAAUACUUUUUUAUUUUACUUAGUCUUUCAAAUCUCUCUACACAUAAUUUAAGGCUUUUUUUCUUUAUAUAUUCCUUUCAAGUUUCAUUAUACUUUCUUUUUUAUAUUUUAUUAUACGCCAUCGCAUGUUAUAAUCUCAGACUUUUUCUAAACCAUUACUCUUUUCAAAUAUUUAUUUUUAGUUCUAAUUAUUUGUAUUAUUGCUUUUAGUUGUUGAUUUAUUAUUGAAAAAUAAAACAAAAAUCUUGGUUGUAUUUGUUAGCCUAAUUAUUUCCAUCUAUUAUUUCCUAACAAUCUUAGAGAGAAAAGCAUAAGCUAUUUACCUUACUUUUUUUAAAAAAAUUGAUAUGUUGCUAUGAACAUCAUAAAUUUAUUAUCUAGCAAACUUGAAAAUUUUAUAGUCAAAUUUUUUUUUAUUGGCAACAACAAAUGAGAUUUUGAGCUUGAAUAUUGUUUUUUUGAGAAAUCUAAUGAUCUUGAUGCUGAAUUGCAUUGUUAAGUGUCCAUGUGAUUGAUUUGUCACGCCAAGAUUCUUCAUGGACUAAUUUUGAGAUUGAUGAAGGCAUUGUAAGUCUCAUGUGAGUCAGUUUUGGGGGGGGGGGGGGCUUUGUUUUUUAUGGGUUGGUGGUUUUGAUAGAAACUAUAUGAGAUUUUAAGCUUAUUUGAUUUUGUAUAAUUAUUUUAAUGGAAGCCUGAAUGAGAUAUUGUCAUUGCAUUGAGUCAUUUUAAUGGAUGCCCAAAUGAGGUAUUUUGUUUGUCUUCAAUAUGCUGAAUCAAUCUAGUAGAAACUAGGUUGGGAUAUUAUUUUGUUUUUCUUUGAGUUGAUUAUGAAGGAUUUAGUAAUUAAUUUAUUAUAGUUCAAUGAUUAAGAGUUUUUUUUUUUUUUUUACAGAGAAUUCAAAGCUUAUAGCAUAUAUUGUUGUCUAAUUUUUUUAAAUUUUGAUAUUCCUUUUCGAGUUUAAUGAUAAGGACUGAAUUUAUGAAGUUUGGAAUGAAAAUGUAUCUCAAUUCCUAGGAGAAGGCCAAGUCAAAUUAGAGUUGUAUCUUUAUUGGAUCAAAAUGGUCUUGCUCUUGCUAGGAUCUAAUAAAAUAGUUAUUAGGAGAUUUGGAUCUUAUAUUAAAAAUAUUAUUUGCUUAAAGUUCUUUAUAAAUUAAGUAUAAUGCCUUCUUCCAAUAUUACUUUGCAUUAUUUGGUAUGUUAGGCUUUGACAUGUUUCCAAGUCAUAUAUUAAUAAAAAAAAGAAAAAUGUGUACAAGCUAAACAACCUAGAAAUACUUUUAAUCCCGCUGAAAAGAAAACAAAUCUAUUUGGUUUAAUACAUGGUGAUAUUUUUUAUAGUAAUAACAUUUUGACUUGUGGUUAUAAAAGAUAUUCUAAAACUUUUAUUGAUGACUUUUCAAGAUAUUAUUAUGUUUAUUUGACUAUAUCUAAAAAUGAAUUGUUUGAUAAGUUUAAAAUUUUUAAUGCAAAAUUUGAAAUUUGAUUUGAAAAAAAAAUAAAAAUUUUACAAUUUGAUAAACGUUGUGAGUAUGCUUCUAAUGAAAUAAAUGAAUUUUUAAAAUUAUAUGGUAUUAUACAUCAAGUAACACCUCCUUAUUCACCACAGUCUAAUGAGAUAGCGGAAAGAAAAAAAUAAAAAUUUAAUGAAUAUGGUUAAUGCAAUAUUAAUUAGUUCUAGUUUGUCUAAUAACUUAUGGGGUGAAGUUUUGUAUUAUGCUUAUUGUAUUCUUAAUAGAUGUUCUUAUAAAAAUUUGGAUAAAAUGUCAUAUGGAUUUUGGAAGAAUAAAAUGUUGGGCUUCCUAAAUAUCAUACACAUAGUGGAAACAAUA